rnacentral:lncRNA from 1 species
GUGAAACACAUUAACCAAAACUUAUGAGUGAAUGAGCGUAUGUCUUGUGAGAAACUCACAUGUUUGCAUAUGAUGAUUUAAAGGAGCUUGGAAUUGCAUUGACAUGGCUAGCUCACACAUGGCUUUUCAACGUUUUUGUUUGAAGGAAAUUUGGUUAACUAUUGGAUGAUGUUUUGAGCUCUUGAUUAGUUCUUGGUUGUUUGUUUCAUGAUUAGCACUUAUCUCUGAAAUCGAAAUUGAGAAGUUGGCUACUAAGUUGUUGAAUCUAGUCUUAGUUGAGUGAUUUUGUUUUGUGUUUUGUUUUGCUAGAGGACUAGCAAAAAUGUAAGUUUGGGGGUAUUUGAUCACUCAUAUAUUUCAUGCAUUUAUACCAUCCAUUUCUAAAGUCUUUGUAAUAUUUUUGUGUUAAAAUUGUGGCAUUUUACCUUACCUUGUGUUAUGAUCAAUUUCAAGCAAAAUGAACUGAAAAGAAAAUAAAAGGGAGGGGAGAGACACGGACUGACAGAGGAAUAAACAAAGGCAGCAAGAUGUGGAAAGCAGACAGAGCAGAAAAGGAGAGGGAAGGAGAGCACGGACGGUAAAAAGAAAAGAAAAUAAAGGGGAGUGGGAGAGACACUGAAGGAAAAAGCAGUGAAAGAAUAAACAGAAACAUAAAGAAAGGCCAAGUGCAUAGAGAAAGUAAAGGCGCAGAGAAAAAGAAAAGAAAAAAAACUGCAAAGAAAGAGAGAAGAGUGCGGGACUGAUAAACAGAAAAAGAAAAUAUAAGAGAAAGGAGACUGACGCAGCGUGGGGGAGGAAUAAAGAAAGGAAGUGAGAGGGGAGCGGACGAAGUGAAAAGACGCGGGACUGAGAGAGAAGAACGCAGAAAGAAAAUAAAAGAAAGAAGGGGACAGACUGACAGAAAAAAAAAUAGACAGAGAAGGCAGGCGCAGAAAAAGAGGGCAGAGGGAAAAGAGAGGAGUCCAGAACGGCAGGAGGGAAAAAGAAAACAGAAAAAAAUAGGAGAGACUGACGGGAGAGGGCAUAUCGCAGAAGGAGAGGGCAAUAGGCAGAGUAAAAGAAGUCAGGAGCAGAGGAGGAACUAAAAACGGGUGUUUUCUUUUUUUUGUGAUUUUGUUUUAUGGAUAAUUUCUUAUGUAAUCAAAUAAUUAUGUGUAACUAAUUUUAUUAAGCUAGAGUGAGGCCAUGAGCCGCAACAUGAAUACGGAGUUUCAUUUUUCAAUUGCUUAAGUGUUGUUACAUGCUUGCUUUGAUAUUUUCAAUCACUGAAUUAAACUAUCUAUGUACCUUGAUGCUUGAUCACCAUUAGGAUGCUUAGAAAAGUUAUCGGAUGCAAUUUUGAACGAAUGUCACGUUAAAAUUGGUUGUGCUUCUUGUGAUUGAGAAUUGUACUCUCCUAAGGUAAAUAUCAUGCUCUUAGGGAUUAUAUGGUUUAACAAAAGGAUUUUCACCAAGAUUAAUGAAUCACUCAUGUUUAUAUUUAAUCCAAAUGUCAUGGAUAAGUUGCAUGUAGUGGUAUGUGUUUUAGCUUGAAUGUCACAAGUAAAACAUACACAAGGAAAAUCCAACCUUCAAAGCAUGUGUGUUUUCAAUUAUUUAAGCAAUUGGAAUAGCUACGUAGGAGUGUUGUUGGUAAAGGUUGAACUCUAGCGUAUUGUCAAUCUAUUUUUCUUCAAUCAUUUAUUUUAUCUUGAAUUUCCUUAUUUACUUGUUUUGUUUAAGUUGAAUCAUUAUUCCUAUAAACCAAUUCCCAUUUUAGAUAUUUGUUUAAGUCGCAUCCAGUAAUAUUUAGUUUCGUCAAAUUAGUGUAAUUCUUAGAGUUAAAUAAGUUAAAUACACAAAAACUCGUAAAUUGUUUAUAUCAGUCCCUGAGGAGAUCAACCUUGCUUGAGCCAUUUUAUACUACAAACACUUGUUCUCUUGCAAGAAUUUUCUAUAGUUUAACCCUUUGUUUUACAAGUGGUAAAAUCGCUAUCAGGACCUGUAGGUAGAUUAAUGGUAGGAAUGGACGACUUAUUGGUAUGAAUAAAAGAAGACGAAUCAUAUGUAACAUGGUCAGUUGCUCCACUGUCUAAAAUCCAAGAAUUAGAAAACAUGGACUUAAUGGACGGAGGAAAUGAUUGACCUGCAAUGUUUUCAAAGGAAUUAGAAUUGGCAGAAGUUGAUUUGGAGAAAUUUACCAUGGCCUCUGUUAAUUGCUUACAUUGUUCCUCAGAAAGGCCAUCAAGAAUAUUCUGGAAAUUGUGUGCCGAGUGAUCUGUAUGGAAUGUCUAUCCAUAUUGGUCCUUAUGUUGAUGACCAAUGGAGUCUUGAUGGGAUGGUUGGCUCACCUGAUUGGCAAAAUAGGAUGUUGGACCUUUCCACCCACUGUUGUGGCUGCGUCCAUUAGUGCUGGCACUGCUGCUACCUGACCUGUUGGUGCCACUAUUGUCACGAUGUUGUGGAUGUCUUAAAGGAUAUCCAUGGAGUUUAUGGCAAGUUUCAAUCGUAUGACCAUCAACAAUUGCAUGUUUUGGUCCUAUUCAUGAUAUUUUUCAAAAGCAGAUUUUCCUUGCACUGGCACGUGGGUGGAGUUCUAUAUGAAGUUAGUUCAUCGCUUAAAUUUUGUAGUUUUGUGAAGUAGCCACAGACAUCAAACCUUGAAAGUUAGAGGCGAUUGCCUUCUGAAUGUGGUAGAUUCGGGGAGCGUUUCCGCGUGAGAACCUAUCACAAAAAUCUUCCCACACCUUUUGAGCGGUCUCAGCAAAAAUCACAGAUGGAGCAAGGUCAGGCAUGACGGAUUGGACAAACCAGGAUAAUAUCUUGUUGCAGUGAUCUUAUAAAGCAUAUUCAGUGGGUUUCUUGUUUGGAGAUGGUGCUUUCAACGUUCCAUCGAUGAAACCAAUCUUAUUCUUGGCGACAAGGGCAAUGCGGACGGCCUGACUCCAGGUACCAUAAUUUUCCCCAUUCAGUGGUUGGGAAACUAAGGAAUUGUUUGGGUUAUCAGAAUGAUGAAUAUAGUAUGGACUUGAAAUGUUUGAAGCUAAAUUGGUGCUAUCGUUUCUAGCCAUGUUGAAAUCUGGAAAAUGAGAAUUAAAAGGCUAUGGAAGCCGUGUAAAGUUGAAGAGGCUAUGAAAAGAAGAGCCUGCAAUAGGUAGACCGACAGGUAAUUAGGAGCUAGGGAAACCCUAGCUCUGAUACCAUCUUAAUUUAGUAUAAUAUGAUGAUUUGGAAUGAUUGAAUUUCUUUGAUUGAUUACAAUUAUACAAGGAUAUACAAAUAUAUACUGAUUACAUUUAGUCAAACUAGGAAAAAGGAUUCUUCUGCUCUAAUUUAGAAGCUAAUAAGGUGAUGACCCGUAGAAGAAGAUGAUUACAACAAUCAUGGGGAUUUCUCUAUGAUUUGAUUUCCAACAGUAAUGGAAAUCAUUAGAGUUUGAAUAUGUGUAAAACCAACAUCCUAUAAUUGAAGAAAUACAUCCAACAUGCUUCUAAAGCCACUUCAUACACGGUCUUGGUUACUAUUCCACAACUGCAAGAUAAGACAGACAAAGUAUAUCAUUUUCAUCCCAUAAGCCCUUAAGUUUGGUCAAGUAAGAACCAACAGACAUGGUCCCUUGAACACAGUCAUGAAUUUCAUUCUCGAUGUGAUAGAGUUGAACGCUAUUAUCCUGAGAGAAGUGUUUGUACAACUUGUUCCAAACUACUUGCACUCUAUCACAAUAGAAUACGCUAGCAACAAUUUCUUUAGAGCUCGAACUUAAUAACCCGGUUUUGACUAGGUUGUCACAACGAUUCCAUUGUUGUAACUCAUCCUUUUCGAUGUCAUCAAUGAAGCUAUACUUAAUUCUGAUAACAGUAUGAACAAAACCUCUGUGAUUGCAGAAAUGGAGAGCAAUAAAUAGAGAAGAAGAAAGAACUCUAAAAAAUCUAAGUAGUUUGUUAUUACUGUGCAUAACUGUCAACCAUACACCUUAGGCUAUUUAUACUUUUACAUAUUUAGUAACUACCUAGUUUAUCAACUAAGCUAACUUAUACCUCCUAAUCUGUUGACACUUGGCAAUCUAAGAUCUUUACAUUUGUCAUUACAAUAAUAUUAUUAUUACCCCCCUAAAGCUUAACUUGGAGCUCCAAGGUUAAAAUUGUAACAAUGAUGAACAAAAGAAAGACCAUGAAGACCUUUUGUCAGGAUAUCUGCAGCUUGUUCCUUUGUAGAGAUAUGUUGAACCAAGAGAUCACCAUUUGCACCUUUUCUCGGACAAAAUGAAAGUCUGUGUCAAGAUGCUUAAUGCAAGAGUGAAACAUAGGAUUGGAACUGAGAGCAAUGGUUGACAAGUUAACACAAUGAAGAACUGGAUGAGAGGGAAGAAACAUAUGAAGAUCUUUAAGCAAUGACCUGAGCUAGCAAACAUUAGUCGCACAAUGAGCCAAUGCCUUGUAUUUUGCUUCAGUAGAACUGCGAGAUAUUGAAGAUUGCUUAUUGGAUUGCUAAGAUAUUGGAUUACAACCAAAGAAAACUACAUAUCCUGUCAUAAAUUUGUGAGUAUUAAUAUCAACAGCCUAGUCAGAAUCAAAAUAUGUUGUAAUAGUAGUAUCUGGAGAAGAUUUGUACAUUAAACCACAAUUCAAAGUACCCUGAAGGUAUCAUAAUAUCCUUUUGACCAAAAAGAAAUAAGCUUCGGUUGGAUGAUGCAUGUAUUGACAAACAACACUCACAGAAUGAGCUAUAUCAAGACGUGUGAAUGUCAAGUAUUGAUGAACUCCAACAAGAUUGCGAUAUAAAAUUAGAUCUGAAAGAGGUGUGCCUUUUGCAACAAGUAAUUGAGUGUGUGGCUUGGUUGGAAUGCGUGACGGCUUACAAUGCUCCAUACCAGCUUUAACUAGAAGCUCUUUGACAUAUUUGGUCUGAUUAACAAAUAAAAUCCAGUAGACAUGUACUGGACCUGUAAUCCAAGAAAAUAAGUAAGAUGACCCAUAUCCUUAAGAUCUAAAAACUUAGCAAGACCGUUGAUAACCUCUUAAACAAGAAAAUCACUUGAGACUGUCAAUAUAAUGUCAUCCACAUACAAUACCAUAAUAACCACAACAUAUUCAUAAUGUUUCACAAACAAACUAGUAUCAGAUUGUGAUGCAACAAAUCCCAACAAUGGAAAAACUUCAAUGAACUUAGAAUGCCAAGCCCUAUGUGCUUGCUUAAGUCCAUAUAAGGAUUUAACAAGUCUAGAAACAUAAGAUGGAUUAGUAGAAUAAAAAGAACCCUGAGGUUGAUGCAUAUAAACCUAUUCCUGCUAAUCCCCAUGAAGAAAUGCAUUCUUGAUAUCCAAUUGCCUUAAUUUCCAAUGACAACUAGUAGCUAGAGCAAGUAUAAGCCUCAUUGUGGAAUGCCAGUCUACAUGGCUAAAAGUUUCACAGUAAUCGAUGCCAUGUUCUUGAGUAAAUCCAUGAGCUACUAAAUGAGCCUUGUCACGUCUUGGCCCAGGCCCCCACCACAUCCCGGGCUCGACUCCACCAUAGCAUGAUAUUGUCCGCUUUGGGCCCCGACCAUGCCCUCACGAUUUUGUUUAUGGGAACUCACACGAGAACUUCCCAGUGGGUCACCCAUCCUAUGAAUGCUCUCGCGCGAACUCGUUUAACUUUGGAGUUUCGAUGGAACCUGAAGCCAGUGAGCUCCCAAAAUGACUCGUGUUAGGUAGAUAUGGGAAUAUACAUAUAAGGCUUACAGGAUCCACUCCCCUGGGCGAUGUGGGAUGUUACAAUCCACCCCCUUAAGGUCCUGACGUCUUCGUCAGCACACUCUUGGCCAAGGAUUGGCUCUAAUACCAAAUUGUCACAUCCCGGCCCGGGCCCCCACCACAUCUUGAGCUCGACUCCAUCGUAGCAUGAUAUUGUCCGCUUUGGGCCUUGACCAAGCCCUCAUGGUUUUGUUUUUGGGAACUCACACGAGAACUUCCCAGUGGGUCACCCAUCAUGGGAAUGCUCUCGUGCGAACUCACUUAACUUCGGAGUUCCGAUGGAACCUGAAGCCAGUGAGCUCCCAAAAAACCUCGUAUUAGGUAGAGAUGAGAAUAUACAUAUAAGGCUUACAAGAUCCACUCCCUUGGGCAAUGUGGGAUGUUACAAGCCUUGUACCUAACAAUGCUACCAUUAGGGUUCUUUUUAACCUUGUAAACCUAUUUACAACCCACAAUAUAUCUGUCUGUGGGAGGAGAAACCAAAGCCCAAGUACCCUAAGUUUGUAAAGCAUCAUACUCUUCUUGCAUAGCUUUCUGCCAUUGAGAAUUAGAUGCAGCUUUUCGAAAAUUUUUAGGUUUUGCUCAUCAAUGAUAUCAGCAACAUAAGUAUAACCAGAAAUACCAUAAUCAUAGUCAUCAAUAUGAAGAGAAUGUAACUGAGGUAAAGAGGCAAUGUAUGCAGAAUAAUCUUGCUUAGUAAUAAUACCAGUUUGAAUACUAAAGCGAGGAGGACAAGGAAGACAUACCUGAAGUUGUGUAGGAUGAUAGGCAGGUAAAAAAGUAGAUUGAUCUUGAGAGAUAGGGCUAAAAUGAGUUUUGAUGAAAAAGUUGCAAAGUCUUAUGUUGAAGUUGAAAUGUGAACAAUAUUUGAUGAACUAAGUGAAAUUGAGGAAGAUAACUCAUGUUGAGAAUUAAAAGUUGAAGAUAUUAAAUCACUAUAACCCAUACUUGGAAGUAACAUUGGCAAAGUGACAAUAAUUCGUGAUCUUAAAGUAGAAUUAGACUUGGAACCAUUCUUGACAGAUGAAGUAUUCAUGGUUAAUUUGGCAGGAAAUAUUGUCUCAUUGUGUAUCACAUGUCCACAUAAAAAUUGCUUUUUGGAUGACAAGUGAUAACGUAUUGUCCCUUUAUAAUCAACAACAUAUCCCAGAAAAAUGCAAAGAAUAGACCUAGAUUGAAGCUUAUGCAGAUUAUAUGGUCUAAUGUAAGGAAAAACAGCUGAUCUAAACACUUUUACAUUAGUAAUAUCUGGAUGUUUGUGAUAGAGACUAAAAAAUGGAGAAUUCAUUCCCAGAGAUUGAUAAGGCAUUCUAUUAAUAAGAAAGACUGUAUGUGCACAUGCAUGAAACCAAAAGGACUAAGAUAAUAUUGUUGUAUAUAACAAAGUGAAUGCUAUCUCCACUAUGUGCCUGUGUCUUCUCUCAACAAAUCCAUUUUGUUGAGGUGUGUGGGGACAUGAGAUCUUAUGAAUCAUUCCUUUAAAUGCCAAGAAAUUCUCAAACUGCUUACUAGUAAACUCAUCACCACCAUUAGAUUGAAAACAUUUAAUACUACUGCCAAAUUGCAUUGAAAAAAAAAAUGUAUGAAAUAUCACAAAGAUCUUAAACACAUCUGAUUUAUUGCAAAGUGGAAAAAUCCAUACAAACUUGGUACAAUCAUCUACAAAUGUAACAUAAUACUUGUAGCCUUCAACAAAUCUAAUUGGAGAGGGACCCCAUAUAUCAGAAUGAAUCUUGUCAAAAGGAAAGAAACUUCUACUAGUUUUCUCAGAAAAAGGAAGCCACAUUUUUUCAUGCAUACAAGCAGAACACAUUGUAUAAGACUUGUCUACUAUAGAAAAAACAUUAGACUUAUUUAACAUAGAAGAUAAAACAACAUUGGUAGGAUGCCCAACCUCUGGUACCAAAUAGUUGACUUGAUCACUUAUCUAAGAAGUGCUGAAAAAUGAGAAUGUACUAAUGAAGAAACAUCCUUGCAUACUGGAAUCCGAAACAACUCAUUAGCCCUACUUAAAAAAAAAAAAAAAAACCCCAGAUAUUAUCACAAAUAAACCAGCAUCUAUUGUCCUCGCAUAACUGUUUUACAGACAAUAAGUCUUCUGUAAUUUGAGGAACAUGUAAAACUUUAUUCAUUUUCAAAGAACAUGAAUGUGUAAUAAGUGUUGUGGAACCAAUAUGCUCAAUGGGCAAACCUUGACCAUUGCCCACUUUAAUCUUAUCUAAACCUUCAAAAUGAGUAGCUUGAGUGAGAUUCUUCACAUCUGAGGUCAUGUGAUGACUUGCUCUAGUGUCUACAAUCCAGGUAUCACCAGUUGGAUAAGGAGAGAUAUAUUGUGUAGCUAAAGCAUCUGGAGAAGGAUUAGGAUUGGAAGAUGAUGGUUGAAAUGAUGAAGAAAUGGGCUAUUGAUAUGCAAAGUGUGGCUGCACUUGAAGAGAUGCAGGAGGAAAAGCACCUUGAUAGGCAAAAUUAAUUCUGUGAUAACACUCAAGUGCUAUAUGUCCACGUUUGCCACGGAUUUGGCAUUCUGACAAAUUUGGAGUGGAAUUUAGAUGUCUAUAGAAGCAGUUGGGUGCAGUGUGCCCCAUUAGUUGACAAAUCUGACACUUAGGUUGCAUAGUAAAUCGAUUAUCAGUAUUGCUAAACCAUGAUUGCCACCCUCCUUGCCUUUGAUUACAAUUGGAGCCCCUACCUCUAUUAUAAAACUGCUUAAAACUACCUCUAUGUGAUCUUCCAUAUGAAUUUCUGUAUGUUGAAGACCUUGGACCUUUAGUAUCGAAAUUAGAUGGAGUAGUACCAGUGAAGUCAAAACCAUAUCCAUAAGGCAUAGGCUGAGAAGAAGACAUAUGUUGUGAUGAAGAAAACUGUUGAGGCAUGUAAAGAGCCAUAGAAUGCGAUGGAGGAAAUUGUUGAGGCAUCUAUGGAGUUGAUAUGAUAUUGGAACGAGACAAAGUUGAUUGCCUAGAGUUAGGAUAAAAAGACCAUGGUGUUGUAGUGCCAACUGUAGUAGAAGACACAUCUUCCUGAGCACCAGAAUGAGAUGAUGAUGACCCUAAUCCAUUAUUGGUAGAUGAUAAAGAACCUUGCAUAUACAUAGCAACCAUAGAAUGUGAAAUAAUAGUUUCCAUUCCUUCAAUGUCUUGUUCUGUGUUUAGCAACUGAGCUCGAAACUUUUUAAGAGAAAUUGAUGACUCUAUAGCCAAAAUAAUGGUUCUGAUAAUGGCAUAUUCUCUUGGAAGCCUAGCAAGAGCAGCAAUAAUGAAGUCAUUUUUAGAGAUGCUUUCCCCUACAAUAAUUAACUAAUCCCGGAUGGAUUUGAAUCUAGACAACAACUUAUCAAUUAAAUCAGCACCUUUCUGUAAAGUCUGAAAUUCUGUCUUAAGCAUGUUAAUUCUAGACUUGGAAACAGUUGCAUAUCGAUCCUCAAGAAUAGACCAGGCCUCAUUAGCAGUUUGACAUCCCAAAACAUGUUCCAUUGCAUCACUAGAUAAGGUAGCAAGAAGAAGACUAAGUAAUGCCAAAUCAAUAGUUUCCCAUUCUUGAAAUGCAAAAGUAACUUCUUUAGUAACACUAGUUUCAGUACUAAUAAGAAAGGGUAAAUUACACUUUACCCCCUUAGGUUUAAGUGCAAUUACAACCUCAUACAAUGUCUUUAAAACAUUUCAAUAUCAUACAUUAUUUAUUAUUUUAUUACAAUUUUAUACAUCCGUUAAACUUUAUGUAAAUUCUUUUGUUAUAUGCCUAUGUGGUCGUCAUGGGUCCCACAAAUUUAUGCCACAUGAAUAAAAAAUAAAUAAUAAUUUUCAAUUAUAAAAUUUCUUGGGAAGUCUUCUUCCCAAAUGAAAGUUAUAGGUCUCUUCUUCCCCGAACCCCCUAUUUCUCUUUAAUUUUGCCGCUCUGAGCUCAAUUGCCACACACUCCUCCUUCUCUUUCAUCCUACUUUUUCUCUCUCUAAAACUCAACGCCCACCCCUCUCUUUCUCUCUUUGCAUUUUCUGCGACUUCCAACGAUGGUGUUGCAAUUGGUGACGCCGAUUAUGCAGCUCCUUCACCUAUUCCAGCAAUAGCCACUCCCCCGCCACCCAACCUUUCCGUAACAGACUCUUCCUCAUCGAUUUCAUCUGCUUGUACGGUAAAUCGAAGCGGAUCUGCAAGAAAUUUGGAACCACCUCAAAGAGAAACAACAAGUCUUGAUCAAAUUCACUGUCGAAAAACUCCCUCUCCGCCUCCGACGCCUGUCCUGUAAUGGUCGAACGUAUUCGAGUUCGUCCUGUCUUAUGGGUUCUUGCAUGGUUUUUCUUGGGUAGUGUGGAUCUAGGUUCGUACAGUUUGGUGGGUUGCAAUGGAUUUAUGUGGUUUGAACUUUGAACCACUUUUCAAUAUCUGCUUCAGUUCUUUGAAAUUCAUAGAUUUCAAAGCAUUUUUGGGUGUUUUGCAUAUGGGUGGGUUGCAAUGAAUUUUCUGUUUUAGGGCUUAAUGCUAGCAAGGUGGAGACUUAGGAUGGCAGCAGCGCAAAUCGAAGGGGAGGAAGAAGAAAGAUGAGGCAGUGGAGGAAAAUGGGUGUUUUUAAAAUAGUUUUUAAGAAUUCUUUUUUUUUUUUUUUUUUUUGUAUAUUCCAUGUUGUUAUUGGAGUAAUGGGCCCCACUUGUAUGCCAGGUCAGAAAAAAAAAUGUGGCUAUAUCAUCACUUAACGGAAAUUUUAUAAUAGAUUGACUUACGGUUCUAUGAAAUUGAAAUGAAAUAAUAAAAUAAUAGGAAAACUAAUAAAAAGGGUUUCAAAUCUUUACAUUUUAAUAAAAAACGACCCACUAACUUUAUUUUAAUAAUAAGGACAAAAGACUAAAAUAAAAUAAAAACAUAACAAACCCACUAUCGUUGGGUGCGUACCCCCCCCCCACCCCCCAGUCCACUUUUUUUCUCCUAUCUUUUGUCCCAUUAUUCAGCUACAUUAAUAGUUUUUUUUUUUUUUUUUGCAAAGAAUUAAAAAAAAAAACUUCGAAUUGAAUUACAUUCUCCUGUUUUAUUUUUGUGGUGUUGUUUUCUAAUAGUAGUCAUGAUGAUGAGAAACUUUUUAAUGUGCUCAGAACACAAGAUGGUACGCUCCAUACAAGUUGUUAAAUCUUGUGUUAAAAAAUUAAUAACAUAAAAAAUAAAAUUUUCCACCACACUUAUAUAAUAACAUGUGUUAUAUCAUUUGUGUUAUGGGUACAAGGAAAAAUUUCUCGAAGAUGACACCUAAGCUCAAGAAAUUGGAUGGAAAGCUACAUUUAUUAUUGUAGGUAUAUGAAAAAAGUGACGAAAUUUUAAUUUCGUAAUUGAAAACAGCUUUUUAAAUAUAAUUACUGAGAAUUAAACACUAUUUAUAAAACUUGACCAAUAAGGGUCUAAGUUUCAAACCUUAUGAAACUGAACCAAGAAUUAAACACUAUUUAUAAAACUUCACCAAUAAGUAGACACUAUUAAUGAAAUUAGACCAAUAAGUAGACAUCAUUUAUGAAACUGGAUCAAUAAGUAGACACUAUUUAUGAAACGAAAACAAGAAUUAGGCAUAAUUUGAACACUGGACUAUACACUAUUUAUGAAACAGGAGUAAGAACUAGACAAUAUUUAUGAAUUAUGACCAAGAAAUGGGCACUAUUUAUGAAAGUGGACCAAUAACUAGAUACUAUUUAUAAAACCGGACCAAGAAAGAGACACUGUUAAUGAAAGUGAAUCAAUUAUUAUACGUUUUUUAUGAAACUAGACCCAAUAACUAGGCAUUAUUUAUGAAACAUGAUCAAGAACUAGAUAUCAUUUUAUGAAAGUGGACAAAAAACUAGACAUUAUUUAUGAAAUUGAACCAAUAAAUAGUAUAAUACCAUUCAGUUUCAUAAAUAGUGCAGUUUCAUAAAUAGUGUUCAGUUUUAUAAACAGUGUUCAGUUUCAUAAAUAGUGUACAUGUACUUCGCGCGCGUCAGAUUUUUUUGUUUUUUUUUUUAAAUUGUGUCAUUUUCGUUAAAAAUUAAGUUUUUUUUGUCCUUUUUAUUAAAAUUUAAGGGUUUUUCAUUAAAAUUUAAUUCUUUUUCAUUAAAUAAAGUUUAUAGCAUGGUUUUUUGUUAAAAUAAACUUAGUCCAAGCCCUUUUUAUUAAAGUUCCCUAAAAUAAUGUAUGAGAUUGAAAUGUUUAAAAGAUGUUGUAAGAAAUUGUAAUUGCAUUCAAACCUAAGGAGGUAAAGUGUAAUUUACUUGAUAACAAAUUUAGAAGGACAGACAUAGGUGCCAUCAAAUGGUCAAACAACUUGUAACCCUUUGACACCGAAUUAAACUGAAAAGCCCAUUUGGUGUUAUUUAUAUCAUUGAGACGAAUUGUUAAUAUUCCUAAAAUACUUUCAAUCUUAACAGAUGAAGAAGCCAUGAUGUGAGAAUCAAUCAACAAACCAAGACAAACACUUACAAGAAAUCAAGACUUAAUUCUUCGAACAAAAAAUUCUGAUAUCAACUAAUCACCGGCAUUGGGCUUGAAAAAAAAAAAAAAAAAAAAAAAAAAAAAAAAACUCAUCUGAAAUUUCAUAUUCAACAACAAUUCUAUGGCAUUGGCCUUCAAUUAUCAAGAAAUUGACUAUUACUGUCAUUAUUUUAUGGCAUUGGCCUUCAAUUCAAGGAACACAAAUUCUAUAAUCGCAACAACAACAAAGAUCUCAAAAAGAUACAACCUGAUAUUCGACGAACCAAAUCCCUGCCAUUGAACAAGCUCUUCAAGAUCUCAAAAAAUCAAAGCAAAAAUUGAACAAAACCAGAAAUCUGAGCAGUAGACAAGCUUUCCAAUCAAGAAUCCAACAAUCUGUGACGAAAUCUUGAAAACGCUCCAAAUUAUUGAUGCACUAACAGAAAAAUUUUGACGCACCGACACCAAAUCACCGCAGCAACUCGAGCGAUGAGCUUCGUUUAUCCAACUUUGGAUACCAUGAUAAUAGUAUGAACAAAACCUGUGUGAUUGCAGAAAUGGAGAGCAAGAAAUAGAGAAGAAGAAAGAGCUCUAAGAAAUCUGAGUAGCUUGUUAUUACUGUGCUUAACUGUCAACCAUACACCUUAGGCUAUUUAUACUUUUACAUAUUUAGUAACUACCUUGCUUAUCAACUAAGCUACCUUAUACCUCCUAAUUUGUUGACACUUGGCAGUCUAAGAUCUUUACAUUUGUCAUUACAGUAAUACUGUUAUUAAAUUCUUGACUGCGAGGGCCAUUGUCAUGGCGUGACUCCAUGUGUUGUAGUUGUCCCCAGUGAGAAGUUGAGACACCAGUACCAACCCAGGCUGAUCCGAGUGAUGAGCAUACAAUGGGUGAUUGGGGUUAUCAAAUUUUGAUGCAAUGCUCUUUCAAGUUGGUGCCGCUUUGAUGAGUUGUUGUCAUCUCCCAUGGUGACGGCUAGGGUUUUGAUUUUCCUUUUGGUUACUAGGAUCGAUUGCUGUAGUAUACAAAUGCAUGGAUUAAUUAUAAAAACACAUCAUUUACUAUUUUGUGAAAGAUGGCUCAAGUCACUUUUGCAGAAGAAUCUUUUUUUUUUUUUUGAGUACAUUGAUAUUUUUACAUUAAAGGGAUGAGGAGUUCGGCUAAGCCAUACAAUGGGCAGCCUAAUUUGUUAUCGAAUUCGCCAUCCACGAUAUUUGAACCUAAGACCUCUCACUUCAAAUGAAGAAAAAUACCACUAUACCGUAGUACUGAGUAAUAUUUUGCGGGAGAAUCUUUAACUUGUGAAAACUAUAAUUUAAUUGAUCAUCCAAUUUCGGUCUCAAAUUGAUUUAGACAAAAAAUGUGUUGAAUAAUUAUAAUGACAUAAUUAAUAAUGUAUUGAAUAAUUAUAAGAACAUAAUUAAUUAAUUCAUAAUUGGCUCCAGAAGACUCCGAAACUUUUGAAUGGAAUACAUAAUCGUGUAAUACGUACAUUUUUCUGUAUAUCAAUCAUUCUUUUUCACUCAAAAUAUAUAACAAAUCAUCGUAUCCUACAGAAAUAUACUGGCUCCUCCAUCCUAAUGAUCCUUUUAAUUAACAAAAUAGACAGCGUUCCAUCUGAUUGCAUGGAGGGGAUUGAAAAGGAUAUCAAUUCCUUCAGUAUGUUUUGACAUCUGCUGUCGCCGGUCAAGGAAUCCAAGGUUUGGAAACGGCUAUAUUAGAGAACUAAUGAAAGUUCCUACAGGUUUUUCUUAUCGCACAACUUAGACAACUUUUUUUUAUUAAAUUCAAAUUUCGUUCUGUUUAUUGUUGAAUGGCAGAUUUACGCUUUAAGAACGUGGUGUGCGGAAUUAUUUGUUGUAUAUAGGGUAUGUUUGGGUCUCAGCUCUUGGCUUUGUUGAAUAUUUUAAAAAUAUAUAUAUAAUAAUAUAUAUAUAUAUAUAUAUAUAUAUAUAUAUAUAUAUAUAUAUGGGGAUGUUUGACGGGAAGUUGGGUUAUUGACCCAACAAUUAUAUCCUUUCAAAUUAGCAUUGUAACCUUUUGCUAAUACCCAACGGUUGCUGCAUGUUUUACAACAUAUAUGAUCUUUGGGUAAUUGGUGUUUGUAUUAGAUAUGUCCAUUGGACAUAAUGAUGCAAUGUGUUGUAUCCCAUAGUGAAAAGACAUACUCAAAUCAAAUGAUGUGUCUAAAGGGUGUAAUUCUCUCUAUAUAUAGUGGUGACAUUAGUAGAAAAAAAUCAUUCAGAAAUUUGUUGUCUACAUAAUUUCUUUACUCUCUUUUCUCUCCUCAUCACAUUUAUACAAUUUCUUUCUAGUUAUUUUUUAAGGGAAUACAAUUCGGUUUUGCUAAUCGAACAUUCCAUACUUUGUUGUAUCCUGGAAGUGAUUUGCCAAGAACACUUUAGCAAACUCAUUCGAGUGGGGGCAAAUAACACUUUAAGGAAACGAUUCAAGUCCUACCUCAAAGUCAUUAUUCGGAUUAUUCUCCAUAUUUCUAUAUUUACUCUAACAAUCUUAAAGUGUUAUUUUCGUCAUGGAUAACAAAUCUGAUAACAUGGCUUUGAAGAUUAUCAAUCAAGAUGUCUACAAGUUAGACAAAUUUGAUGGAUCAAAUUUCACCCGAUGGAAGCACAAGAUGCGUUUAAUGCUUACUAUUGUAAAUGUCAUAUAUGUGUUGGACCCGAAAUUGGAGCCUAUUCGUGAACCAAGUGACAAAGACUCGGACAAUAUAGUUGCCGAUCGAAAGAAGCGUGAAGAAGAUGAAUUGGUAUGUCGAGGACACAUCUUGGGCACAUUAUCUGAUCGUUUAUAUGACAUGUAUGCACACAUUCAAUCUCCAAAGGAAAUUUGGGAAACACUUGAACACAAGUACACAACGGAAAAAAGAGGUACCGAUAAAUUUUUAAUGUUCAAAUAUUAUGAAUUCACUAUGUUUGAUAACAAACCCAUCCUAGACCAAGUUCAUGAAUUAUUAGUCUUGGUCUCAAAGCUUCGUGAACUUAAAAUAGUUAUUCUAGAUCCUAUGAUAGUUGGGGCUAUUAUGGUAAAAUUACCCCAAACAUGGAAUAACUAUAGAAAGAAACUUCUACACAUGGUGGAAUAUAUUAGUUUGGAGAAUUUGCAAAAGGGUAUUCAAAUUGAAGAGGAAACUCGAAAUCGUGAUAAGAAUUUUGCAAAUCAAGAUUUCUCUAAAGUUCACAUUGUCGAAAGAAACAAAUAUAAAAAGAACUUCAAAGUCAAAAUUGACAAAGGGAAGUUUAAGAAGACCAAUUCCAACAACAAUCAAAAGAAUGCAAAUGGUGUAUGUUACCAUUGUGGAAAGAAAGGCCAUUACAUUCGUGAUUGUAGACACAGAAAAGCAAGUGAGGAAUAUGCCAAUAAGACCAAUAGCGCAAAUAUGGUGGAAAACUCUGGAAUUGAUAACAUUGUUGCAAUGGUAUCAAUGAUGCAUAUUGGCAUGAUUACCGAACUGAAUAUGGCAGCGGCAAUAAAAUCCUCCGAUUGGUGGCUCAACUCAGGGGCUACUAUACAUGUGUGCAAUGAUAAGGCACAAUUCAAGACAUAUGAAGCAUCAACGGACAAUCAAGAAGUUUUAAUGGGGAAUCAUAAUUCCGCCAAAGUUUUAGGAAAAGGAACCGUUGAACUUCAAUUUACUUCUGGGAAGAAAUUAACGUUGCUUAAUGUACUGCAUGUUCCAGAAAUUAGAAAGAAUCUUAUGUCUGCAAAUUUAUUAUGUAAGAACGGUAUAAAGACUGUUUUAGAGUCCAACAAGUUAAUAAUGUCGAAAAAUGGGAUGUUUUUUGGGAAGGGGUAUUCUUGUGAUGCGAUGUUCAAACUAAGUAUUAAUAAUAAAGUGAAUUCUUCUGCUUAUAUUGUUGAAUUUUCCUCUCAUUUAUGACAUAUACGUUUAGCACAUAUAAAUUUUAGAUCUUUAAAAUACAUGCGCACACUUGGUUUAAUUGCUUGCAAUGAUGAUUAUAAUGACAAAUGUGAAACAUGUAUUCAAGCGAAAAUGACUAAGAAACCUUUUCCAACUGCCGAAAGAAAUACAAAUUUAUUAGACUUAAUACAUUCUGACAUAUGUGAAUUUAAUGGUGUUUUAACAAGAGGAGGAAAAAGAUAUUUUAUCACAUUUAUAGAUGAUUGUUCUAAGUUUACUUAUGUUUAUUUAUUAUCUAAUAAAGAUGAAGCUUUUGAGUGUUUUAAGCGCUAUAAGGCUGAAGUUGAAAACCAAAAGGGAAGGAAAAUUAAAUGCCUUCGUAGUGAUAGAGGUGGUGAAUAUUUUUCACAUAAAUUUGAUAAUUUUUGUGAAGAGCAUGGUGUUGUACAUCAAAGAACUGCACCCUAUACACCACAACAAAAUGGUUUGGCAGAAAGAAAAAAUAGGACACUCACUGAAAUGAUUAAUUCUAUGAUGAUUAAUGCUAAUACUCCAAAAUAUUUAUGGGAUGAAGCAUUGUUUACUGCAUGCCAUAUACACAAUAGAAUUACAUCUAUGAAGACACAUGUGUCACCAUAUGAAAUUUGGAAAGGAAGAAAACCAAAUUUGUCAUAUUUGAGAGUAUGGGGUUAUGUAGCUUUUUAUAAGGCACUCGAUCCUAAGAGAUCCAAGUUGGGUCCAAGAGGAAUUAAAAGCAUAUUUGUAGGUUAUGCAGAAAAUUCAAAGACAUAUAGGUUGCUUAACUUAGACUCAAACACAAUAGUUGAGUCUAGAGAUGUCGAAUUUAUAGAAAAUAAAUUCUAUAAUGACUACUCAGUGUCUGGAAAAGAGAAUGAUCUAACACAUUUCUCUAAUCCGUCUACUAGUCAAUCUCAAUGUGAGAAAAGAAAACAGUCUGAAACUGUUAAUGAACCAAGGAAAAGCCAAAGGGUAAGAAAAGAAAAGACUCUAGGCUCUGAUUUUAUUUCAUCUCAAUCUAUUGUAUUUUUAGUCGAAGGAAAUAGAACAAAGGUUCUUAAGAAAAUACCCAUAUUGUUGAAUGUUGAGGAUGAUCCUAAAAGUCUAAGCGAAGCAUUGACUUCAAGAGAUGCAGCUUUUUAGAAAUAGGCUAUAGAUGAUGAAUUUGAAUCAUUAAUAUCUAAUCAGACAUGGGUUUUAGUAGACUUGCCCCAAGGAUCAAAAGCAAUAAGUUGUAAGUGGGUAUUUAGAAUAAAAUACAAUACAAACGGGUCUAUUCAGACAUUUAAAGCCAGGCUAGUUGCCAAAGGUUUUAAGCAGAAAAAAGGAAUAGACUAUUUCGAUACAUAUGCACCAGUAGCUAGGCUCACAUCAAUUAGAAUAUUGUUUGCAUUGGCAUCUUUAUAUAAUUUGCAUGUGCAUCAAAUGGAUGUGAAAACAGCAUUUUUAAAUGGUGAUUUAGAUGAAGAAGUCUAUAUGGAACAACCAGAAGGGUUUGUUCUCCAUGGGAAUGAAAAGAAGGUUUGUAAAUUAGUAAAGUCAUUAUAUGGAUUGAAGCAAGCACCAAAACAAUGGCAUGAAAAGUCUGAUUUUGCCAUUUUAUCAUAUGGAUUUAGACAUAACAGUGCUGAUAAAUGCAUAUACUCUAAAUUCACAAAUGAUUAUGGUGUUGUUAUAUGUUUAUAUGUCAACGACUUGCUUAUUUUUGGUACAAACAUGAAAGGUGUAUCUGAAACUAAAGAGUAUCUAAAUUCAAAAUUCAAGAUGAAGGAUUUGAAUGAAGUAUAUACUAUCUUGGGAAUUAAAGUAAAGAAGCAUAGUGGGGGUUACGCUUUGUGUCAGUCACAUUAUAUAGAAAAAUUGCUUCUUAAGUUUAAGCAUCUACAAAUAAAAGAAGCAAAUACCCCUUAUGAUUAUAGUGAAACUUUGCUUAAUGAUUCUGGUAGGUCUGUUGCACAGCUUGAGUAUGCUAGUGUAAUCGGAAGUUUAAUGUAUGCCAUGCAUUGUACCAGGCCAGAUAUCGCAUUUGCAGUAUGCAAACUUUCUAGAUACACUAGUCAUCCAGGUACUGCUCAUUGGAAAGCAAUAAAUAGAAUUUUUGGUUAUCUUAAAAGAACUAUUAACCUGAGUUUAACUUACUCUGAGUUUCCAGCAGUACUUGAAGGAUAUUCAGAUGCAAGUUGGAUAACAAGUGCUAAUGAUAAUAAGUCUACAUCAGGGUGGAUUUUUACAAUUGCCGGAUGAGCAAUUUCUUGGGCUUCGAAGAAGCAAACAUGUAUAGCACAUUCAACUAUAGAAUAUGAAUUUAUAGCAUUAGCAGCAGCAUGCAAAGAAGCGGAAUGGAUUAGAAAUUUGUUAUUGGAAAUAGAGUUGUGGCCAUAACCAAUGCCAUCCAUUUCUUUAUACUGUGAUAGUGAGGCUACUUUGUCUAGAGCAUACAAUAAGGUAUACAAUGGAAAAUCUAGACAUAUUAGCUUGAGACAUGAAUAUGUCAAGCAAUUAAUAACUGAUGGAGUUAUUAAUAUUGUUUAUGUUAAAUCAAGUAAUAACUUGGCGGAUCCGUUAACGAAAGCACUUUCAAGAGCUUUGGUAGUUAGUACAUCUAGUGGAAUGGGGGUAAAACCCUUUACUGAAAAUUAGCCACCAAUAAUGGUAACCCGACUUUGUCUAGAACAUCACUAGUUUAAAAGUUUAAUGGGUAAUAACAAGUUAUUGUUAAGUGGUUGUGUAAGCACUAAAAAUUAUUAUAUAACUCAUUCCAGGAUGAUCAGUGCAAGACUGCUACGUUUAGGAGGAUGAGUUUUAACUCUUAAUGAGGUUAUUUGUAGUUAUGUCUAUAGUAGCAGGGACAUGGGAAUGAACCUCACCUAUAUAAACAUAAGAAGUGGUACCGCUUCUGCCAAGAGUUGGGUUUUCUCUUGUAAAUGUUUAUGAAACUAGGAUGAAGCACAAGGCCAUAAUAGUGCUUAAUUGGUUCAAGAAUUUCUUUAAAGAAAUAAGACAUAAUCAUGUGUGUAGUAAUUCCGGUUUUAACAUAAGAAUAGGUGGUUUAAACUUAGGUCACCAUCGCAUUCGUUAUAACUUUGAAUUACUUACACUAAUUAAAGGUUUAAUUCGAAAGACACCUUUAUUGUAUGCAUGAUUAUAUCGGUAUGCUUGUGAUAAUUAUAAAGAGAGUUGUAAUAUCAUUUUCUAUAUAUUUUUCAAAUAGGGAAGGAUUGUUGAAUAUUUUAAAAAUAUAUAUAUAUAUAUAUAUAUAUAUAUAUGGGGAUGUUUGACGGGAAGUUGGGUCAUUGACCCAACAAUUAUAUCCUUUCAAAUUAGCAUUGUAACCUUUUGCUAAUAGCCAACGGUUGUUGCAUGUUUUACAACAUAUAUGAUCUUUGGGUAAUUGGUGUUUGUAUUAGAUAUGUCCAUUGGACAUAAUGAUGCAAUGUGUUGUAUCCCAUGGUGAAAAGACAUACUCAAAUCAAAUGAUGUGUCUAAAUGGUGUAAUUCUCUCUAUAUAUAGUGGUGACAUUAGUAGAAAAGAAUCAUUCAGAAAUUUGUUGUCUACAUAAUCUUUGCUCUCUUUUCUCUCCUCAUCACAUUUAUACAAUUUCUUUCUAAUUAUUUUUUAAGGGAAUACAAUUCGGUUUUGCUAAUCGAACAUUCCAUACUUUGUUGUAUCCUGGAAGUGAUUUGCCAAGAACCCUUUAGCAAACUCAUUCGAGUGGGGGCAAAUAACACUUUAAGGAAACGAUUCAAGUCGUACCUCAAAGUCAUUAUUCGGAUUAUUCUCCAUAUUUCUAUAUUUACUCUAACAGGCUUUGCCAUUGAAACAGAGCCAUAUCUUGGAAUAAUUGAUUAUAAAUUAUCAAGUGAGAGUAUGGAUUUAGGACGUGAAAUAUGGCCUUCUGAUGACCUGUUUCAACAUGGUAAUUCCAUCAGCAACGUCAUUUCGGACGGCAAUUUAUAGACGACAAGAAACACAUUGUUUCUGCAAGAACAAGAAAUGAGACGGCCAUCACUCAAAACCAACCCAGAAAACACCAAACAAAGCCAUCCUACAUAUUCAUUCGUUUCAUCAUCUUUGAGAAAGAGAGAUCAAAUCAAAAAGUGUUUCAAAAUAGGAAGAGAGCUGACAAAAGAAGAGCUUAAAGAGAGAUAAGAGAUAAAAAAAAAAAAAGCCAAAAAGAAGGAGAUUAAGAGGCAGGAAAAAGAGGACAUGAAAAGAAACAAGAAAAGGAGAAGAAAAAACAUGAAGAUGAAGAGAAAAGAAAAAGAGAAGGCAAAAAAUGAAGCACAAAGUGAAGAAAUGAUCAAACUGACCAAUUUAUGCGGAGAUCCUUCCAAGCAAUUUUUUUAAACAUUGUUUUAUUCCCUUUAGAGGUUCCAUUUCUUGUCCAUUGGAAUAAAUCUUUAGAUAAAUCAAUGCGAAAUACUAUAGCUUUUUUUUUCUUUGUAAUUUUCAAAUUCAAGGAUUACUCUUUCGUUUAGGAAAUGAGCAGAACUAUUAAUUUUAUUCCUUUGUUGAAUUCCAAGGAUUUUUUCCUUUUUGUUCUGAAUUUUCUAAUGAUCACUCAAUACAUUAGAAAAUUUCAUUUGUUUUUUUUUGUUUUUAUUAAAAAAUUUAGGUUCUCAUCCCUCCUUUUGCUACUCCAUUGAUUAAAAUGUCACAGCCCGUCCCGAAAUUUAUUUAUCGGGGAUGUGAAAUGACGGAAUUGCCCUUAACGGUUGAUAAGGUAGGUGUGACAUGUUAUUUGAUUAGUUCAUACUCUCCUAAAUUCUUGGAAAUAAAUUAAGGGGAUUAAAAAUUGGUUUACAAUUUGUGUGGUUAGGGAAUUAAAGUAUGGUUUGUUUUGGGUGAACCACACACACACACACGGGACAAGCACCUCCCCGUGCUCUCUCUCUCUCUCUCUUCCUCUCGAAACCGUACGGACAAGGCAUCAAACCCUCAAAUCUUCACGGAUCGACGUAAAAAAGGUGAGUUUCUUCAUCCUUGCAACCUCUUGAGUUGAAUGGUACCAUUUUUAGAACUGGAAACCCUCAAAAUCACAUGAAAUCCGAACCUAGUUUGAUGUCACUGUUCAUACACACGUGAAAUGUUGAUUUUCAGGGAAUUCUAAGCUUACAGGGAGCUUAGUGAGGUCCCAAGGAAGCUCGGAGUACUUAGUUUGAAGGUUUUGGACGUCGAGAUCGUAGGGUUCGAAGUUGGCCGGUUUUCUUGGAUUUUCUUUGGUGAGAUUUCGUAUGUUUUUUAACCUUAAAGUAGUAUAGCGUGAUUCUACAUGCUUAGGCUUCAUUUUGAUAUAAAAUGCGUAAAAAAUGGUUGAGAAUUGACGGAGAACAAGGAGAUUGAAAAAUCUCCAGUUUUCCGGCGCCGGCGAAACCAGUCCGACGACUGGAGGAAGAAGAUGACGCGCAUGGGGGUGCGUGCGUCCGUGCUCCUUCCGGCACGUGGGGGCGCGUGCAGCAUCGAAAUUUUUUUCUAAAAAUACCUCGAUGUCCGUGACGUCAAGUAGGUCACUGUGGUAUAUUCAUAUACCCAAAUUGUGCAUCGUAUGAGAAGUUAUUACGUAUUGUUGGUUGUAUGCUUUAAAUAACUUUGUUAUAGUUGUUUCGCAUAUAGGUGAGACCUAUCCCGAGGACGAGCGUGUUCAAGGGCGUCACGGGGGUUACGACCCUUCGACUUACUAGUGAGUGGGCAGUAUUUUCUGUAUUUAUUUAUAUACUAUUGAUUUUUUCCCAGAAAUUGAAUUUAAAUAAAAGUAUGUUUUAAAAUGCCAUGCAUGUAUAUUAUAUGAAAUAUAUGAAUUGGUAUUUGAUGCAUAUAUGUGAAAUGGUGCUGUGGAUGCACAGGUGAAUAUCAGGUGAGUUUUCUGUUGUUCAUAUGGCAUAUUGAUGAUGUGAAUUGUGUUGAGAGCUCAUAACCUGCACCCCUAGUGUUAGUGCUUAUAUUAUUCACCCCGCACCACAUGCUCACCUUGGAUCCAAGUAGGUGCAUGUCGUACAGACCAUUAAAGGGUUCCGACAUGUCGUACAGACCAUUAGAGGUGGUUCCGACUUAUAGGUGAUCUUAGAUUAUUAUACAGCUGUUGAUCAGAGAAGCACUAGAGCGUAUUCUUACACCAUUUUUAUCAUACAGACUACUUUAGGUAGUUCCGAUUUAUGUGCAGAGUAGCGCCGUACAGGUCACUGUGGUGACUCCGGUUGGUUGAAUAUUGAGCUAUAAAAUUAACCGUACAGGACCAACUGCAGGGUCUCCGGUUGAUUCAUUAUUUCACAUGUUAUAUUGAUGCAUCUUUAUCUUGUUAUUGACGCUUAUACCGUGGCAUACUUCCUGGUUUUUGAUAAAUAUUUGUGAUUUGAGAUAUAUGAAGAUUUUAUGCAUAUUAUGUUAUUUUAUGGGAAAGUAUACAGGUUUUACAGCGAGGGGUUAGAAAUGUUAUUAAUUGAAAUGUUUUCAAAAAGCUUUGUUUUACUGACCCACUCAAUUUUGUUUUGCACCCCUUCAGAUUCUAGUUAGCAGCAUUGGUGGCCCACGAGGAUUCCCACAGCGUUCUGAUAGACUCCUUAAAUGUAGGACUCACUUGCGGGUGUUGUAAUUUUAGUUAUAGUCCUACUUGACUGCACCUAGUACUUAUGCUCUGAAUAUGUGUGUUUCACACUUAAAUUCACUCUAGUAUGCUAGUUGGUUAUUAUUGCUAGUAGUUGGUUUUUAUUCCUUCAUAAUUCUUUUAUCUUUUACUUCUGCGUCGCACUUUUGGUUACGUCACGCUCACGUGACGGCCAGCACGUCUUGAUUCUAGGAUCGGGGUGUGUCAGUUUGAUAUCCCAAAAACAAAACCGUGAGGGAAUGGUAAGCCCAAAGCGGACAAUAUCGUGCUAUGGUGGUGGAGCGGGGCCGGGAAGUGAUCCACCCCCGACCGGGAUGUGACAGAAAAUCUUAUUCCUUUUCAAUUUUUUAUCAAGGUUCUUGGGUAUUAAUAACAUCAUUAAUUAUUUCAAUAAUAAAAUAUUUUUUAUUUCUAAAUAUAUUGAUUUAGUGUUAAAAAUGUUACAAUUAGUAUAUUUAUAUUUAUGGCUAAAUUUUUUAUCAUAUAUUUUUUAUUUUUAGUUUGUACCCAUUUUUAAUUUGCAAACCUUUUUUAAAUUUGUACCAAUUUUCUUUUCAGUUUUAAUUUGUACCCAUAUAUUAAUUUCUUUUUGUGCCCAUAUUUUUUUAAGUUUUAUUUGUAUUUGUGCUCAUGUGUUUACCGUCACGUGACAUUUUAUAAUUAAUCAAUGAUAGAAAAAUUACAUAUGGUAUAUUUAUGUUUUAUGGCUAAACUUUGUUUUAUAUUUUUAGUUUGUACCAACUUUUAAUUUGCAACCUUUUUUUGAAUUGGUAGUAUUUACUUUUUAGUUUUAAUUUGUACCCAUGUAUUAAUUUGUUUUUGCGCUCAUAUUUUUUAAAAUUUCAUCUGUACUCAUAAUUUUUUAAUCUUUUAUUUGUAUUCUAAUUUAUUUAUAAUAUACCUAUUCUUCUUUAUUAAUGUACCACUUUGUUAUAUAUGAAAUGUACCGAUUUUUUUUACACUAUGGAUACAUUUUUUUGCCAUUUAUUAUUUCUUAUUGUUACAUAGUUUUUAUCCAUUUAUUCAAUCAAAAUGUUUGAUUUUUUUUUAUUGUAGCCGUUUCUAGUAGUAUUAUAAUGAGGGAUAUUAAAUUUAUAGGAUUAUAAAUCUCAUAAAAUAUCAAACAAUUAAUGUUAAAACUAUAAAAAUAUAAAUAGUAAUAGUGAUAUAAUGAGGUGUACAAAGUUAAGCGACUUUGAUCAAACUUUGAAUACCAUUAGGGUGCGUUUGUUGAAACGGACUAUCUCGGACUAGACAAGCUUCAAGAACUAAGUUGGACUGGCUUAUAAUAGACUAAGCUAAACUGAUUUUGACACACCCCGACCCGGAAUGUCCACUAGGACUCCGAAUCAAGCUAUGUUAGCCGACACCUGGAAGGUGACGAAGCCAUAAAGUGUGAUGGUGUGGAAAAUUGUGAAUAAAUUUAAACCUAAGAGUGCCUAAAUACCAGAGUGCACUGGUGAAUAGGAAUGAACUCACUUCACACAUGAUGUUAGAGCAUAAGCAAAUACAGAAAAAUGAUAUAAGAAUCGUACCCUCGAAAUAAUCUCUUAUACUAAGAAUCGCCGCGAGUCUUUGGUGAUAAUAAAACUCAGCUAAUAAUACCUGGAGGGUGAAGACAAGACAAGGGUGAGUGGCCAUGUAAGUAAAUUACUAAUUGAAAACAUAUAACACAUGUAAUCCCUCGUUACAACACCUGUAUAAUUUCCAAAGAAAUCAUAAUGUAUCACAACACAGCAUCUCAACAAUAAUAUCAAAUAAUCAUGCGAUUAAUAUCUCAUAAUAGUACGCAAGUCGGAGUCACCUCUAGUGACCUAUACGACAUAUUCAUAUCUCAUCAUAGAUCUCAUCAAUCAUGACUAGCAAAUGAGUUGGAGUCACUUCUAGUAACCUAUACGACAUAUUCAUAUCUCAUCACAUAUCUUAUCAAUCAUGGCUAGCAUAUAAGUCGGAGUCACCUUUAAUGACCUAUACGACAUAUUCAUAUCUCAUCAAUCAUGGCUAGCAUAUAAGUCGGAGUCACUUCUAGUGACCUAUACGACAUAUUCAUAUCUCAUCACAUAUCUCAUCAAUCAUGGCUAGCAUAUAAGUUGGAGUCACUUCUAGUGACAUAUACACAUAUUCAUACCUCAUCACAUAUCUCAUCAAUCAUGGCUAGCAUAUAAGUCGGAGUCACUUCUAGUGACUUAUACGGCAUAUCCAUAUCUCAUCACAUAUCUCAUCAAUCAUGGCUAGCAUAUAAGUCGGAGUCACUUCUAGUGACCUAUACGACAUAUUCAUAUCUCAUCACAUAUCUCAUCAAUCAUGGCUAGCAUAUAAGUUGGAGUCACUUCUAGUGACAUAUACGCAUAUUCAUACCUCAUCACAUAUCUCAUCAAUCAUGGCUAGCAUAUAAGUCGGAGUCACUUCUAGUGACUUAUACGGCAUAUCCAUAUCUCAUCACAUAUCUCAUCACAUAUCUCAUCAAUCAUGCUAAUACCGUAUACUUACUUAAAUUUACUUAAACUUACCUGAACUUACUUGAAUCUCCUACAUCCACCUUUGCACUUCAGAGCGUCCACAGCAACACAAUUAUAUAUAAUGCAUCAAUACCAUAUACGAAUUAUAAACUUAUAUGCAUGGCAUUCAAGGCAUAAUCUCAUUUAAACAUAUUUCUGGGAAAAUAUCAAGUGUAUACAUAUAUACUUAAAACCAAAAGCCUACACAUAUUGCUCAAUUCCUUAAACAAGGCUAUGGUCUCGGUUAUUUAAUCUCAUUUCUUAUAUGGCUGCAUCUAACGCCUCAUUAGACUAUCUACGUACCCUAAACAGGGAUCAAGCCAUUCGUAGUUCACAAUAAUCAUUUAUAGUAAUACGGAUAUGGAUAGAUCACGAUGAAAUCUAACUCAACCAUCUCAUAGUAUUUUAUAACAUAUAUAUAUAUAUAUAUAUAUGUCAUGGCAUAAGUUUCUCAGUUUUAUUUAAAAGCAUUUAUAGAAUUAUCAAUCAUGAAACAUAAGAUGAGCAAGGAAAGAUCCACUCACCUGGAGUCCAUGCUACAACUUCCUAGCACAACCAUCGGGGCGUCCCGACGAUUGGCGCAUGCGGCCAAUUAUCAACCACAUCUCAGAAUCCUCAUCAAUAGAAUACGUAAUUCACAUAAAACAAAUCCUCAAGGAUAUUCUAAAAUAGUUUGAGACCCACUGACCAUAAGUCAAUCGUCGAUCAAAGAUCGACAGUAGGUUCUACAACCCUGUAUAACUCGAUCCAGAAGAUCCGCAUAUUAGAUUUUCAAUCCGCAACUUCCAAAGGUACAAAUUAUGCUUCUAGAAUAACAUACUAAAAUUUCAUAGUGAUCCAACGGUCGGAUCUCCGUCAAUUGCCCAAAACCAAGUGGCAGUUAAUAUUUAUUUUAUAAACUUACACAUCUAAUUCGGGAAGAUCCGUAUGUCGGAUUCAUGAUCUGUAAGUUUCUAUGGUCCUCACAUAUUACGUACUAUAAUGUAUUAAAGUUUGGUGACGAUCCAACGGUCGGAUCGUUGAUUACUAUUCUAAUCAAGUGGUGGACCUUAAUGGGACUUUGCCUGAUUCUACAGUUUUUGCAGAUUCCCUGGGCGAUCUUUGGAACUCCAUAUCUCACUUGUUUCUCAACCAAAUUCAACCUAUAAUAUAUCAAAUCAAAGCUAGAGAAAUGUAGAACAAGAUUAUACCAACUUGGAGUCCAAAUGGUGGCCGAAAAAUUGUCUGAAAGAUGGGUGUCCGUGGGAAAACUGGUAACUCGCCGGAAUUUCUGGGCGACCUUUCAACGUCUAUAACUUUAUCAAUACUCAACGAAAAAAAGUGAUUCAAAAACAAAAAUCAUAGUUCUCAAUGAGACGAAGAAAUCAGUACCUUACACGAUGGCUAUCUAGCCGUGAUUUGGCUGGAAAAUGCCUCGAAAGUGGUAGAGGUUGCCGGAAACUGGGCAAACUUUAAAUCAUUAUAACUUUCUCACUUCUUCACCAAAUCACACAAUCCAAACAUGAAAAUUCAUCUACACAACAUGAUGAAUCGAUUUAUACCUGUGACCCAGGCCAAAUAGGCCGUGAAGAGCUUCAAUUUUGUUAAAACCUGUCAGUAACCCUAUACUUGGGUGAACUUCGAUUCUUCUUCCUCGAUGCUCCAACGGGGUCAAGGCUGGUCGUGAUUUUCUCCUGGGAUGAUGGGCUACAAAGCCCAAGUGGUGGUGUCGGCCAUUGCUUUGCUGAUUCGCCGAAAAAAUGAAAAGGGUGACCGGAACACCAUUGGUUUUCAUCGGGUUUUGUGGCCUCGAACUGCCACAUACAGGGGUUAACCAAGGUGGUUCUUGGGUGGAUUUUGUAGAGAGGAAUGAAAGCUUCAAGAUGGUGGUGGUGGCUUCGAAUAACUCGCAGGAGUUGGUUGGAAUCAACCUUGGAAAAUGGGUGGUCGUGAGCGGAAAAACCCACGGGAAAGCUCCAGCUUCCCCCCCCUUUUUUUUUCUUUUUCUGAUUGGCUGGAGGCUUUGUCCUCCUUUUAUUUGAUUGGUUCCCUUUUCUCUUUGCUUAAAGGCUGAUUGGUUAGGCUUCUCACAAGGUGGGAGUUCAAAUAAUUUAACUACCUUUAAAUAACCAACUUCAAACGUCCGUAACUAUACCGUUAUAAUUCGGACUCGCAAACGACUUUUGCCUAUGCGUUCGUAGUGACGAGUAUUAUGAGGAUAUACUAAAAGAAUAAGUUAUACGCCACUCUAACCGAUGAUUCGCAAAAGUCAAAGUCCUUACCUCUAGGGCAUUUUCGUAAAUUCACACUUCUAAAAUUAAUUAAAAAACGUAAAAUUUGAGACGGGCUAACACAGAUUUAGUGAAACGUUUGAUAUAUUGUCAGACUAAGAAGCAGAACUCUAGUAUUACAAUCAAUAUCUUUUAAUAUUUUAUUAUUAAUUUAAUAAAAUACUAAUAUUUUAUAAUAUUUUACCUUUUUUUUUCUUUCUAGAAUCAUCUUCUUUCAACUCUUUUUUCUUUGUUCAACAUCUUCUCUCUAUCUAAACCUCUCUUUUUCUCCGCCCACCGUUUACCUCCUUUCUCUGUACCUCUGUCUUCUCCCAUCUCCAUUUUUCUUCCAAUCCACCUCAAAUUACUCUGGCUUCCUUCUUAUUUUUCAAAGUUUGAAACUUCGUAUUUAUUUUGUUUUGCCUCAAAGAAAACGGCAUGGCACGAGUGCUGGAACUGCGGGUAAAGGAUCGAGCUGAAAUUUCAGAGUUUGUUCUCGGAUCUUGGCGACAAUUGUGAGGCAUUGGAAUUGAGGGCUAGAGGACUUUCUGGGAGAGGGUAGAAAAGUGCUUAGGCUUAAAGCUGUGGUGUGGUGGAUUAUGCUGUUUAGAGCCAAUGCCAUGUGAAUUAUUUCUUUCGGAUAUAUGGGAUGGGCUAUGUUGGUCGUCCGUUUCUCUGCUUUUAUUCCUCAGCGGCAGGAAUGGGGUGGGAAAUGACAAAGAUGCAGUUUGUGGCCAAGUUCUUCAUAUCUCUAUUUUCUGGGUCUGAUUCCAGUUCAAUCAACGAAAAUGGAGAACCCAUUUCCCAUAUCGAUCAGGUGUUCCUUUGUGAAGCAAAUAUGGGAAAUUUGAGAUGUGGGUUCGUCGGGAAGCAGGUGAGGAAGAAGUAGAUGGGAUGGGUGAAAUGGGGAGACACAAAGUGGAGUUGAUUGGUCUUAGUAGUCCGCCCAAUUUGGGGGGUCCUCCCUAAGUCCCUUUAGUAAACCCGUUAGUCCAUGCGAGUCCCAUUUGUUCCAUUAAUGGCUCGUUUACUUAUUCGUAAUCAGAUUGAGGAGAAUUGAGUUAGAAGAAAUUGAAUUGAGGAGGAAUUAGAAUGAGGUGGAAUCAUAAUCAAAUUCAUGUUGGAGUUGUCUACUAAAACUGUCUGGAAUCAGAGUAGGAAUAACAUUAACUUAUAUAAACUGUUUACUAAUUCACUUGAAUCGGAAUGAAAAUUAAUGUGAUUACUAAAAUACCCCUAUUGUAACUAAUCUAAUUUUUAUGCUAAUUAUUUUUAGUUAAACUUUUUUAUUUUUUUAUUUUUAUAGUAGAAAGUAUAUAUUUUCUUUAAUAAAACUUUAUUCUUUUUUUCAUUUUUUAUCAAGACCCACCCUCUGUCCUACCCUAUUACCCAAAAAAGAGACAAUCAAAAAUUAAAAUUAAAAAAAAAUAAUAAUAAUAACAACCAGCGUUAGUCACUCAGCAAUAUUUUUGAAUUAGGAUUGAUAAUUCAAUAAACCUCCGAAAAAUCAAUUAAUUAAAAUAAAAAUAGAUAUAAAAACCUAGCCACUCGAUCGCAGCUUGUCUCAACUCGCUCUGUAUCCUUCAAUCGCUUUGUUUUGCAGCAGUCCCUUCCAACAAAUUUCACAGUUGAGUCUCCUCAGCGGUGCGACGAUUGGGUGCGGCGGCGAAAAGGUACCUUUCCAGUCACCACCAGUUGCCUCCCCUUGCUCUCUCUCCCUCCCCUACAAAUCCAUCUCUCUUCAUCUACUACCGCCUCCCCUUUCCAGUCACCACCAGCCGCUCCCUUUUCCAGUCAUAGUCAAGUCUCCUCUGCGGCCAACGAAUGAUCAAAAUUGAAAUUCCAAAAUCCUCAUCUUCUUCCCUUCUGAUUUUGGUCAUGAAACCAUAAUCCCACAGGCCAUGAACCCUGCUAAAUCUUCCUUUGACAAAGAAAGCAGAGAUAGAGGUUGAAGGAAGAAAGAGAGAGAUAAGGGUAUAUUGGGCAGAAAAAGUUGAUUCUGGAUGGAUGCUUUCUCAGGGAGUCCGAAUACCACCUAUUGUUCGGUAGUUCAAUUCUGGGGAAAUCAGUAACCUGAUUCCCCAUUUUAGAUGGGUCCCACCCAUACUUUCAUUCCCCCAGUGUUGGUAAACAUUGAAAUUCCUUGAAAGUAGUGCAAUUCCCAUUCCCUCAUUUAUAUUCCCCUUACGUAAACACGCCAUAAAGUUAGUCCAUAUUCCCCUUACGUAAACACGCCAUAAAGUUAGUCCAUACGCGAGUCAAACACAGGAUUACAUAAAUAUUUAAUCUAGUUUAGUCCAGUGCCAUUUAGUGAGGGCAAGAAAACGCUUCCGUAAGGUUUUAGUCAAAGAAUGUUAGGGACUAAGGACGCAUCCAAAGUAUCAUUUUUUUUUAUUUGUCAUUCUUAUACUUCAUGAAGAAACUUGCUCAAUAAAAUUGUAAUACCCUAAAAAUUUAAAUAUGUGAAUAUGUGGAGAAAAUCGAAAAUAAUUGAUUUAUGGUUAUAAAAAUUUAAUUGAGAAAUUUUAAAAAUUAUGGUUUCAAAAAUUUAUAUAAUUUAAGUCAAAAAAUGUAUCGAUAAGUAAAAAAGACAAAAAUGCCUUAGUUGAUUAAAUGUAAUUUCACGAGGACUUAUUUUAUCCUCAUGUAAUUUAAAUUAAUUCCUGAUAAAUUGGGAUAGAGCUUGGUUCUGCGAGCGUGUAAGCGCAAACCAUUCGUGAAAUGGAGUUAUAACGAAGAAGUUAUUAACUUUUAAAGUUAGGGACAAUUUUGUAAUUUGACUCUCAAUUUCUAGAAAUGCUCUAGCAAAAAUUUGGAGCAAAUACCAUUUAGAUUAUGCCAUGUGUGUGGCUAGGAUGGGAAGAAAAGAAGAGAAAAGGAGGAAUAAAAAAUCAGAUGGGGGAAGAAAUUUGGAAUUUGAAUUAAGAAAAGAAAUUUGGUGAUUAAUUGUAAAAUUAAAUCUUAUGUUUUGGUAACUAAAUUUUGGUUAUAGAUUUUGUGAGUGAUUAAUAAAUUUAGAUAAAGAAUUAUGAAUUAUGGUAGUUAAAUAAACAUUAUGAAUUAUGGUAGUUAAAUAAACAAGAGUUCAAUUUGGCCUAUCACCACAAUUAUUUCCCAAAAUAAAAUUUUUUAGGCCGUGACGUUACAAAAAUACUACCAAAAGCUAUGAAUUAUUUUUAAAUACAAAACCGAUAAAAUAUAGUAAAUAUGUAAAAGAAAUAUGGUAACAACAAUCAUUUAACAUGAAUAUUUCCUCGCAAUAAAUGUGUGGAGCCUAAAAUAAUCCCAAAAAUUCUAAUAGCAAGACGUGAACUUUUGCUCAAGAAAGACAAGAUUGCCCUCAAUAAAUGGGCAGGCUUCUCAGAUGCUCCCACAGGCAGCUCACACCUUUGGAGGUCAUAGCAGUUGAAUACGACUGUCCACAGCUCACAUGCUCUUGGCAAGGAAAAGUCAAAGCAUUACAGAUAAGGAUUAAUUACCCAAAUCCUAUCUUUAAUACAUUCCCAAUUGAAGAUUGACUCGAAUCAAGUAAUCAAAAUUUAAAUCAAUUAGGGAUAAUUACUCCAUAAUCUCAAGAUAUUAUUUCCUAUUUAAUAUCUUGAGAAUAUUUCUCCAUAAAUCUUGGCCAAUAGGAUGUUGCCACGUGUAGGGUAAAACCCUAACACCAUGGUUGACCCUAUCCCUAUAAAUACCCCAUAUUCUACCAGUUUUCAGAGGCUUUUGCUACCCCUUAAAAGCCUUAAACGGUUUACUUUCUCAGAGAAACUGACUUAGGCAUCGAAGAUCCACUAGCCUAACCCCCCCACCUCGUGGGCGCGUGAGGCUUAGGUCCUUCAUAAAAGGUGUUGAUUAUUUUGCAGGUGCAUUUUCGUCAAGACUGAAGCCGACGGAAAUUUGCAUCGACAAAUUGGUGCUUUCAUUGAAAGCUGAUUCAAAUAUUCGAAUAAGCCUCUUUCAUUUGGUUUCUUGAAUUUUCUGUUACAUUGAAUAUCUCACACGUCGUACCAAUUAAUUUUUCCUAGAAAAGAUUAUUGGUCAAUCCUUGGAGAAAGGAUACAAUGGUAGGAAAUUCAGAAAUCAUGACGAACGGAACGUCAUACAUACAAGGAUUUGGACCAUAGAGUAGAGACAAGGAUGUAGCCCCACAAUAGAGGUCCUUAAGGCUCAACUCGACGGCAGGAGGAGCCCUACCAUCGCAGAGCUGCAUAACCACCACUGUCGUGACCCAGCAAUCAUGGCAAGGCCACCAGGCCAAAGCCCAAAUUCACACGCCACUGACCUUGUAGCGGCCCAACCUUCAAAACCAUAAGCAAGAGGCCUAGGUCUAACUCAUGGUCCACGGGCAGGAUGCCCAAAGCUUGGCAGCUACUAUAGUAGGCCUAGCCCACUACAGUAGCCCCAUCUGCCAUUCAUCGAGCCUAGGCGCUCCAAGCCGAGGCCCAUGCCUACGGAAACCCAACUGAGCUAGCCCAGCCAUCAUGAGUAGCUCACUGGAAGGCGGCCCAAGCCAGCUCGCUGCCAGGCGAGCCCAGCCAGCUGCCAACCAAGCCAAAGCUCGCAAUGAGCUAGCACCAGCCCAAUGCGCAGCACAGGCCCAGGGCUAGCCACAACACUUAUGAACCCACCACACCCCUGCACAAGUGUCGACCACCCAGUCAGGUUGGCCCACUUCGUGACCCGCUCCGAAGAGCCAGCCUGCGGCCUAAUCCAAUCUAAGGCUAUCUCCGAUGAUCUAGAUUCCAACCACCGGUUCCACGAUCGACUCAAGGUUAUUUUCACCCAACUUUUUUGCAGAAAUGCCCUAUCUGGGCUUAAGCUUUGUACCUGCAAUCCAUUACACUUCCACCACACAUGGAGAUGCCUAUCAUCCAGACUCUUCUAAUCCAAAUUGUAAGUACCACCUGCCCUAACAGGUCUCCAAUUUUACGAGUGCCCAUUCGCAGCAGACCACCUUGGUGAACCAGCUCCUCAAGCGUAUCGAGAUGCAAUGUGCCACAGACAAGGUGUCCCGAAGCAGGAUAAGGGUAGAAGAACAUGACUUAUUCCAGCGAUGUCCCGGUAAAAAGUCACUCAACCUACCACGAACCAUACGUUUGGGUAGUGUGCACCCUCAUUUGGGCCUUCGGGGAAACAUCUUUUCCUAAUCAGAUGCACAGAGAAGCGUUUAUUCCCUACUCAGCUCACGAGUCAGUGUGCAUUUGAGGUUAGGUCCAUACUCCAACGAGCACUCAGGACAUUCUAUGAGAAGCGUCCACACGAGGCUAGGCCCACAAAGAGAUCCUCCAAUAAAGCACCAGAGUAGGCAGCCGCAUGACAAACAAAAGAGAGCACGGAAGCAGUCCAGCUCAAGUUCCACUGGUAGCCCCCGCCAAGCGAGACGACAAGCAACACAAAACGAACCACUUGCAUCGCGAUCGCAACACAGAGGAGCAGGAUAUGCCGAAGAGCAAUAUGGACCAGGAGGUUAACACCAAGGGCAAUAGAAGGCUCCGCUGACCUCACCAGGCGUAAAACUAGGAAGAAGUACAAAGGCUUAUAGCAGAGCAGCUGAGCGAAUUCUAGCGCAUUAAUACUACCAACGAUGCCUUCAGUAGAGACGUGGCCAACCUAAGCAGGUCACCAUUUACAGACGCGAUCGAGCAGAUUAAGCCACCGCAGAAGUUCAUCCUGCCACACUUCACUUUGUUCAAAGGAGAUGAAGAUCCAGACAGGUACCUUAUGCACUAUCGAAGCACCAUGACCCUCUACUCCAACAACGACGCUCUCAUGUGCAAGAUCUUUGCCACAACACUCCAAGGUGAAGCGCAAGAUUGGUUCCACACCCUACCACCACAAUCAAUCUGGAACUUCAGCAAACUUUCCUUGGUUUUCACUAAGGAAUAUUCAUCCUACCGUUCGAUCAAGAAGAAGUCUGACCACCUUUCCAACAUGAAAAAAGACCUAAAAGAGUCACUCCACAUAUACAUCAAGAGGUUUAAGGUAGAGAAGGCGAAGAUCGUCAGAUACGAUGAUAGCAUUGCAUGUUCAGCUUUCUGAGAAAGGCUCCCAGCAGAUUACCCACUUUUCAGAGAAUUGAUCAUGGGCGAAAACUUGACCCUGGCAGACUCUUAUGCUUUGGCAAAAAAGUACUCCCUCCAGGGUGAGGCCAAGUGCUCCUAGAAGCCGCUUGAGUAUCCGCGCAAAGACUCAGAGCCAACUUAGAAGAAGGUGAGCGAUAAAUCGCUCAAUGAUAAAAACAAGCCAAGAAGCAGACGCAAGGAUUGAUCUCUGAGAAAUGAGGCAUGGCCUUCAAGAUGUACACCAUGUUCUCAGUCCCGAUCAACCAAAUCUUUCGGGACUUCAAGGACAAGCUGUGGUUCAAGUCGCCGCCACCCAUAAAGGGGGACACCUCUAAGAUGGACCAAACAAAGUACUACGCAUUCCACAGAGGUCCCAAGUACACAACCAACGACUACACCACAUGAAAGAGGCCAGCUACCUAACCUAGGUAAGAAGCAGAUGCCGACACAGAACCCCCAGCCAAGAUAAUCUGAAUCAACGAAAUCUUUAUCGAGUCCAAGCAUCUAAGGGCCACCAACAAUUCCAAGAAAAGUAAGAUCCAGCAGGCGAGAUUGGUCUUUCAAGUUUAAGCCGUAGAUGCUGUACCUGGAUCAAGUAUUAGAAAAUCUAAUUUCGCAUCCUGGGAAGAGCAAUCGAAGAGAUCAAAUGCAACCAAGCUAUGUCUUAGAGAUGCACUGUACAAGUUCUUAAUAAGUUGAAGAAUAAGUCUUUCACCCUAGCAGUAGCAGCUGAAUUGUAAAAAGAUAAUUAUACCUCCGUCAAAUAGCGAUUACAGCAGGCAGGUCAAAAAGAUGGCGUCAAGGUCGACAAUGCCCUGGAAGAUGAAUUAGGAUGGAAACCCAAAGAGGACGUUGAAGACAUCAUUUUUGACCUUCACCAAUUGGAAAAGACAGUUAGGAUUGGCUCACGUCUGUGCUCGAUGGAGAAGGAAGAACUCACGAUUUUCCUUAGGGAAAAUCGUGACGUCUUCACAUGGUCACCCUCUGACAUGCCCGGUAUCUUUUCAGUAAUAGCUUGCCAUAAGCUGCACAUUGAUCCCACAACCAAACUUGUGAUCCAAAAAAGGCGACAUUUCGCACUCGAGUGAGUAACGAUUAUUGAAGCAGAAAUUAACAAGUUACUGGAGGUCGGCUUCAUUGAGGAAGUGGUGCACUCAGUAUGGCUGGCCAAUUAGAGAGUAUGCGUGGAUUACACCAACCUUAACAAGGCAUACCCUAAAGAUAAUUACCUAAUUCCCCGAAUUGACCUGUUUGUUGACUCAAAAUCCGAGAACCAGGUGCUCAGCUUCUUGGACGCAUGCUCAGGCUACAAUCAGAUUGUCAUGUAUGAACUUCACAAAGAGAAAACCACAUUCAUGAUCGAGCAAGGCACAUAUUGUUACAAGGUAAUGCCCUUUGGCCUGAAGAACGUAGGAGCAACAUACCAACGACUCGAAAACACGAUGUUCAAGAAGCAGAUCAGAGUCACCAUGGAAGUCUAUGUCGACGAUAUCAUGGUAAAAGGAAAGCAGCGGUCAUACCACAUUCGUAACUUGGCAGAAACUUUUGACAUCCUCCGAGAGUACAAAAUGAAGCUCAACCCAGCCAAGUGCACUUUUGGCGUCUCCUCAUGCCGAUUCUUAGGGUACCUUGUAACCUAGCAAGGAAUCGAGGCUCGCCCAAGGAUAAUAAGAGCGAUCCUUGAUAUAACGUCUCCUACAACUCUGAAGGAGAUCCAAAGUCUGACCGGACGAGCAGCGGCUCUCAAUCGUUUCCUUUCGAGAUCCACUAAUCGAUGUAAGCCAUUUUUAAGGCGAUCAAGCAAGCGUAGAAGGAUAAAUGAGAUGAUGAGUACGAGAAAGCAUUUCAGGACCUGAAGCAAUACCUGACAUCACCUCCACUACUAUCCAAGCUGGAAGCAGUGGAGAACCUGUACAUUUAUCUGGCGAUAUCAGAAGUAGCAGUGAGCUUUGCCCUCAUACGAGAAGAGCUAGAGGCCCAACUGCUUGUAUUCUAUACAUCCAAAGCUCUAAUCGAUGUGGAAACCAGAUACCCAAAAAUUGAAAAGCUAAUUUUGGUGUUAGUUGUUGCAGCUAGGAAGCUCAGACCUUACUUUCAAGGGCAUCGAGUCAUCGUCAUGACCCAGUACCCACUAAGAUCAAUUUUGCAUAGUCCAAACGCUUCUCAAUUAGUGAUGAAGUAGGUGUUGGAACUUGUUCAUUACGUCUUAGCAUACCAACCCCACAUGACAAUAAAAGCCUAAGCAUUGGCGGACUUCAUAGCAGAAUUCACUCCAAGCCUGAAGGACACAACAACUCAAAUGAAAAUACCCCGAAGGUAGCCAAGCAAGCUGUAGCCCCACCUGCUGGAGAUUUUUGGCGUAUGCCCGUCGAUGGAUUAUCCAACUUCCAAUUAUUGGGGGAAGGCCUAGUUCUUAUUACCCCAGACGGUUCGAUGCAUAAGCAGGCAAUCACUUUAAGCUUCAAGGCAUCAAACAAUGAAGCAAAGUAUGAAGCCCUACUAGCAGGUCUUCGAUUGGCGAAAGACCUAGUGGUGAAAAAGCUCGCGAUCUAUUCUGAUUUCUAGUUGAUCACCAACCAAACCUCAAGGAAGUACACAUCCGAGUAUCUAAGGGUGGCCCGAUACCUCGAGAAGGUAUGAGACCAGCUUGCGACGUUCCAAGCUUACACACUCACUUAGGUUCCAUAAGCAGAAAAUGCCCACGCAGAUACUUUAACAGGCCUAGGCUCUACUUUAAACCAUCAGCUCAAGCGCUCCGUUCCAGUUGAGUAUUUGGAAAAGUCGAGUAUAGAUAAGGAACCAGUAGUUGAGGUGGUGCAGAUCAACACAACUCUGAGUUGGCAUAAUCCUAUCAUCGACUACAUAGUCAAUGGAACGCUCCCCGCAGACAGACUGGAGUCCAGAAAGCUUUAGAUGAAGUCAGCACACUACUACAUGUAGAACGGCAUGCUCGUUCAAAGAUCAUUUUCAGGACCACAUAUCUGCUGUCUAUCGUCUCCUGUAUGUGGAAACCAUUCUAGAAGCCAUUCCUUGGUGCAAAAAGCUUUUAACGCUGGUUAUUACUAGCCAACCAUGCAUUAAGAUGCCAAGGAGUAUGUACAAAGGUGUGACAUCUGCCAGCGCUUCAAGCCCGUGCCUGCAUUACCUACUAGCGAACUCCACCUGCAGACGAGCCAUUGGCCAUUCAUGCAGUGAGCGAUUGACCUAGAAAGACUAAUGUUGCCUGCUACUAGGGGCAGAUGCAUGAUGAUUGUAGUGACCGACUACUUCACAAAAUGGGUUGAAGCCGAACCCAUUACUACAACCACCCGUAAUUCGUGGGAAAAGACUUGGUGAAGUUCUAAAAAAAUAUGGCAUCAAGUAGCACAUGUCCAUGCUCCGGCAUCCGUAAAACAAUGGGCAGGCUGAGGCGUCUAAUAAGACCAUCCUCGACAGCCUCAAGAAGUCCAUCUCAGACAAGAAGGGCAAGUGGCCAGACGAGAUCCCCAGUGUUCUAUGGGUGUAUCGCACCACCAAAAGACGAGCAACCAGCGAAACUUCAUUCUACCUGGCGUAUGGCUCUAAAGCGAUCAUUCCUCCCAACGUCAUGGUGCCAAACAUUAGCACUGUACUACCGAAUUUAGAGCAGAACGAGAAGGAGAUGGCCACAAACUUAGACCUAGUAGAGGAAGAACGCGAAAAGGUUAUCACCCGCAUUGUGACCUAUUAGCAGCAACUUAUCUCUAGCUAUAAUAAGAGGGCGAAGAUCCGACAUUUCCAUCCAGGAGACUUAAUCAUUAGAAAAGCCUUCAUCACCGCCAGACCAGAAAGCUCCAAAAAUAUGGCUUACAUCUAGGAAGGUCCGUACAAAAUUAGCCGAGUAGGCUGGAAGGGCAGCUACACCCUCACUACUAUGAACGACCAAGAAAUAGAGAAUUAGUGGAAUGCCUACAACCUGAGAAAGUACUAUAUGUGACCUCAUACAAUUCCUUGGACCCUGUUCAAGACGAAUAAAGUUCGAAGACUCAAGCAGCUCGAUGAACAAGACCUUGCAUGCCGAGGAUUAUCAGUUGUUAUGCCAUUACUGCUUAUGAGCAAAGUUAAUAAAUUUCUCUAUUCUCAAUGAAGAUCGAAGGAAUUAUUCAUAAGACUGGGCCGAACGUAUAAACAAACUGACCGCCCCUGUGACAAGUAGAAUACGCUCUUUGCCCUUGCAGAUAUGGCGUGUGCUCUCUAUUUAGGAGAAGGUAAACUAAUCUAAAAUAUCCAGACAUGGAUGAGUGGCACGACUACUUAGUUUCCUCUUAAUGCAGCGACUACCUGAGUUGGACGACUCCCAGAAUUAGUCAAGAGAGUCAUUCCCCUAGAUUAGACUUAGCCAACUUAAAGAUUCAAUUUUGUGAGAUCCCGAGUCUCUAACUGGAAGAGACACUAAGUGCAGGAUUCUUGCCCAUGAAAGAGUUCGUGUGACUAGAUGGUCCAUCCUCGACGUGUAGGUCUUCAUGAACGUAGCUUAGUUUUAAAGUGUUGCAAUACUAGUUAAGCAACCUACGGAAUCAAGUUAUAACUCGGAAGGAUGUAUCAUCUAAGGCGUAAUUCUGUCUACACCUCACGCUUGAAACGUCUUCGAGAGCCAGGGACAACACCCAAAGUGGUCAUGCAGGUCGUCUGUUUUUAUAAGUAAGACGUCUGGCCGAUGACCCGACGAUUGACAGCCCAAGGUAAUCCGUAAGCCGAGAUUUAUACCUGCUAUGACUACGCGGAGUCGUCUAUUUAUUUAAAAGCAGCGCUUCUGGCCGACAGUCUACGAUUUAAGUUUUGCAGGGAUAAAGCCGAAUGACGACUAUAGUAGCUACGCGGACCUCCUCUGUUUUCUACGAGAAACAUAUGUCCGACUGACGACUCUAUAAGUUAAAAACUUCACAACGCGCGCUAGGAGGGUUAAAGCUUAAGAAGCCACCAAAGCUCAAGAAGCCAUUCAAAGCCGAAAUACAGCCAUAGUAGUUACGCGAGCUCAUCUGCUUUCUACGAGAAACACGUGUCGAGCCACCGACUCUAUAUGUGAAAAAUGUUGCAGUAUGCCCCAUGAGAGCUAGGCUCGUGAAGCCAUUCACGGUCGAGAUUCAUAACUAUAAAUAGUUACGCGAACUCGCUUACUUCCUACGGAGGCGACGAGUUCAACAACCGGCUCUAUAAGUUAGAAUUCUCAUAUUUUGUUUCCUCUUGCAGGUAAAGUUGUUGGAGCCUAGAAGACGAAACUAAAACCUAAGUGAUGAUGUGGGAUCGACUGCUUCAUUGAGGCAGCUUACUUAGCCGACCGUCUUAGGAUAAUGUUUUGCAAAAGACCAAGCGAAAUAGAAGGAUGAAGCAAAAUGAGGAAAACUGUUUAUUAAAUUUCUUGCAAAUUGAUAAACCGGCUCGAAGGCCAACAAAGUUCGAGUUAAGUUAAAUAAAAAGGAAAAUAAGAUAAUUCCUAAGUCUAAGCAAAAAGACUACUCAUUGGCAGCCUGUGUAACCACUAGUUCCUCAACUGCCAUGCCUUCAGCAGCCACACCACUUAUAAGAACCAAAGCUUCCAUCAACUCAUCCUCAACUACCCAUGCCUCGACUACCUGACCCUCAGCUGCUCCACCAAAGGCAGCCUCAAACGAGAAAUCAAGCAGAUCUGCUAGAGAAAUGAAGAAAGUCUCGAAGUCCUUCUCGAAAAACUUAUAAUUCGACGACCUGCCCUGAAGAUGGUCUACAUAGCCAAGCUUGUAGAAAUCGACCUAACAAGAAGCUAGCGCCACUUCAUGACCAACUUUCUCAUUCUUCAGCUGCACAUUCUCCUCAACAAGCCUAGUGUGAGCACCCUACAGCUUAUGCAAUUCCUUUCUCAAGUUUUUGCUAACAAACAGCGCACCUUGCAGAUCCACUUCCUUGGACUCAAGCUUACUACCAACCUCCUUGAGAUGAGACAUUUCAGCAUGCAUAAAGAUAAGAUCGACUCCAAAGUUUACUCAUGCUCUUAACUUUAACUUAAGGUCCUUGCGUCAACUUACGAUGUAUUUCAUCAACAUCUACAUUUGCUGCAAUUUUUUGUUUUGUUUCAAUUCAUGCAUAUGUACUUCUGCUUCAAAACUUGCACAUUAUUUUUCGACCUCAAUGAAGUGUGUGUGACGAAACAAGCAGAUUGUAGCUCCGAAUUGAUGCGCUCAAGGUCAUCGACCACCGAAGAAACACAACUAACUUCCUUCUCUGCAGCUUUCAACAUCGCCUGAGUUACACUAAACUUAGCCUUCAAAUGGGCAACCUCCUGAUGAGCAAUCUUCAGCUGCAUAGAAGUGGGGCAAAGACAUCAGACCCUUUCAAAAAGGCAAGUUUAGAUUCAAGCUUCUCAAUCUUUUCAGUAGCCGAGUGAAGUUGAGCCACCAACGCCACUUUGACCUCUUUAGCACACUUGACAGCAUCCUGAUCAACAUAUAUAGACUCAGCUGCCAGGAUCAAAGUCUUAUGGUAAUCAGGGAGGACCUCCUCAAGUAGGUAGGACAACCUUCACAAAAGAGUAUAAGCAGAUGACAACUUUCCCAACACUGUCAACAAACUUGGCGCAUGCAUCAACAUCCUCAAGCAAGUCAAUCUUUAGCAGUGCACAAACCUUGGGAAACUCUCCAGCCUCAGACUCGGUGGAUCUUUCACAACUGCCCAUGCAAGCAGACUUACCCUUUUUAGCAAACGAAUUAGUCCAGCAAGAGGAAGAACAGGGCCAGGCGUCACCUUAGCAGCAGAAUCCACCUUCUCGCUUUUCAUAGCGGUGAAUCUUUCAGAAGCCAAACCAGACUUAACUUCUGACGGGCGCUUCAACACAAACCCAGACACCGGGGGCACCACUGAACCUUUCCACUGGGUAAGUCACUCAACAUUAGAUGUGGUCACCUUAAGAGCAGCAGGUUUCACAAGCUUCUCCACAAUAGACGAGUCCCCGCGAGCAGCAGAAUAAGUCUUUAGUUUUUUCUCGGUUGAAGGCUCACAAGCAGGUGAGGAAGAUAUUUUCUUUCCACCCUCAUUGGCAAUAUGUUCUAUAGCAGUGAUCAGACGAGUAAGCGCCUCAUCUUUUAUCUACUUUAUCUUUUCCUUCGGAAGUAGCUCGCCUUUCUCUCGACGAAAAGGGCUGAGCAACCAGCGCCACUCAUGGUACUCAGCAGGAAUGCCCAAUGCGAUGUGCACUUUCUUCAUAUCCAUCAAAGUUUUUGGAGUUGAGCCGAGUUCUGAAUCAACAGAACGUAAUAAAGACGAUCAGUAAACUGAAGUCACGGAGCAGCUGAACAAAAAAUUCAAGCAGGCCAAGAAUGAAGCAGUUCACUUACCACUGAUAAAAACAGUUGGGACACGCAGCUCAAAAGAAGAGUCAGACUCCCACUCUCUACUAACCUCCAAGCUAUCUCUCGCCCACUCAUGAUCACCUUUGCAGGAAGCAUCAAACAGUCUAUUGUGAGACAUCAGCUGCCCCACGCCUUCGUGGCCAAUCUCAAAGAAGUACCAAAACUCAUUAAUGGUCAAGCCAAGAUCAAAGAACCCCACCAUUGCAUAAACUGCAUUUGGGGAGCACUGAGCAGGCACACAUUUCAUGGAGCAUAUCACCUCCUAGAAAAAACGGGGCAUGGGAAAAGUAAAUCUCAACACAAAGUAGUACGGAUGGAAUUUGAUAGCUCUCUUCCUAACAGUGGCACCCUCGCUGCAUGGUUCUUGGCUGUUAUCAUCUUUCACCCACUUAAUGCAAACCCCUGACUAAAUCACAUGUUUGUACACCUUAAGAAAAUUCCGAAACAGCUCGUCAGAAUUGAUCUUGACAUACACAGCCUUGAAGUUGCCCACCUUGCCGGAAGGACCACCUUGAUGGUACAAAGGUGGAGGAUAUUCGUCAUUUUUGCGAUCGGAGGAAGACAUCUCAAAGUCCCAGCAAAAAUUACUAAGGAAAAUAUUUAGAAGGCAGCUCGCGAAAAAAGAGAAAAAAAAAGACCGUAGAGCCUAGUGCCCCAGCGCCAUGCCCCACGGCCCAACUCAUCCACAUGACCAGGCCACAAAAAGGCCCAGCCCUUGCCUCUCUCUCCUACACGUGGCUCAUGUCGCUGAGCCCAACACAGGAGAAGGCUCGUGCCUCCCUUAUUUCUCUUUCGCAAGCCAAGUGCCCUAAGCAAACAGGCCCAAGCUACCAAAGCCCGAGAGCUGGCCCAUGCCGGACUUUGCCAUUCUCUCACCUCCCACUUGCAUAGGCCCAUGCCUAGCAGCUUGAAAACUUGGCCCAAGCCAGUCUCUCCGUGCCCUAGCGCCUAGCCACUUCGGCCCGAGCUGAGCUGUCCACCUGGCCCAAGCCAGUCGGCUCCCGCGCCGCACUACCAUGCUGCUCACUGUGCACAGCAGCCCCGUGGCUCCUUUGCCGAGUGUCACCCACACCCUCGGCCCCAGCUGAGCCAAUUUUUCAAGUCCUAAGACUGCCAAAAAAUUCAAGAAAAAAAACUUCGAAUUUUUCUUACCUUGGUGCGACACGAAGAAGAACAACAACAACAAGAGACGACUCUUUGCAAGGGCAAGAGAAGAAGAAAGCUAAAUGAUGGGGAAGAAAAAAUUCCUCUGGUUUCUCUUCCUUGUUGGAAUGAUGAUUGUUCUCCAAACUUAUUUAAUCCCCUGCUUAAGGCAGAGUUAAAUAGGUAUUAGGGGCAAUUGGUUUCCUUUUCCUAUAAAAAGUUUAUCUCCAAAUCAAGAAAGGAUAUCAAGUUCAAAUUGGCAAACAAAUUUACAAGCCCAAGCAGCUUGGGAUUUCUACACCUAUUGCCCAUUUUCUGCCUGCAGUCCAGUAGGUGUGGGGGCAUUUGUGGAGCCUAAAAUAAUCCCAAAAAUUCUAGAGGCGACACGUGGACUUUUGCUCAAGAAAGACAAGAUUGCCUUCAAUAAAUGGGCAAGUUUCUCAGAUGCUCUCACGCGCAGCUCACACCUCUGAAUGUCCCAACAGCUAAAUACGAUUGCCCACAGCUCACCUACCCUUGGCAAUGAAAUGUCAAGGCAUUAAAGAUAAGGAUUAAUUACCCAAAUCCUAUCUUUAAUACAUUCCCAAUUGAAGAUUGACUUCAAUCAAGUAAGUAAUCCCAAUUUAAAUCAAUUAGGGAUAAUUACUCCAUGAUCUCAAGAUAUUAUUUCAUAUUUAAUAUCUUGAGAAUAUUUCUCCAUAAACUUGGCCAAUAGGAUGCCGCCAUGUGUAGGGUAAAACCCUAACACUAUGGCCGGCCCUAACCCUAUAAAUACCCCAUAUUCUACCAAUUUUCAGAUGUUUUUGCUACCCCUAAAAAGCCCUAAACACUUUUCUCUCUCAGAGAAACUGACUUACGCAUCGGAGAUCAAUUGGCCUAACCUCCCCCCCCACCUCGUGGGCGCAUGAGGCUUAGAUCUUUAAUCAAAGGUGUUUAUAGCAUAUAGGUGAGGUGGCAUAUCACUUGUUGAAGUCCUUAGGUUAAUUUGCAUUUUUAGGUUAUAAAAAUGGAUUAGUCCUUUUGGAUUUGAGUUUUGUCAGGCUAUGGGAACUACUAUGUUCCUUCCUUUGUUGACUUCCAAGUCUUUCCACUACAAUAUAUAUAUAUAUAUAUAAUUAGUGACCAACUACUUUGUAAUGACAUAUUAUUUACAUGUAGUGCCAAAUCUUUCGUUGUCUCUAUAUAUAAAGAAUGACCAAAAGAAAUCAUUACUUUUAUGGUAAUAUAUACAUGAAAUUGUGAUAUAAGCUUUCAACUUGGGAAAAGGUAAGCACAUACUAUUUUCCUCCUUUUACAUAAUUUUUUUUAUCAUAAACUGAAUAAAUUAAACUAAAACAAUGAAUAAGUUUAAACAUAUAUCUCGUUGAGUAGGGAGGAAGGCAAAAGGAGUGUAAAUAAAUUUUUUUACUCUGUAUUAAAAUUUUCUAUAUGUUUUACCAUUGACGUAAAGUUUUGUACUAUAAUUAAUAGUUCUUUCAUGAUUCAUAGUCAUUGUGACAUACAGUUUUCACUUUAUUAAAAGAAUUUUUGAAUUGCUUCCAAAAAAAAAAAAUUGAAUUUAAAUAUCAAGAAUGAUUGUAGUUGAAUUAAUUAAAUAAACAAAAAAAAGAAGAAAAAGGGAGAACUGCCUAUCCAACGAAGCCACGCAGCUGUUUCUAGGACCAACCCGGCAAAUAAAAAACUAAGGCAAGAUAUAUAAAGAGCCAUUCAUGCAUAUGGCUUUAGACCAUCAAAGAGAAUUUCCUAUUUGCAUAAUUGCAUCGCAAGUAGCCAAAACAAAAUGUUUGGGGGUAAAAAAGGAAUAAAAAUGAGACUUUCGGAGAGUGAAGUGGUAGCGAUAGCAAGGAGGAGGGAAGCCAAAGAAGAUCAGAAGAAAAAGGAAGCACUGGAGAAGGCUAGGAAGAUAAGAGAAGCAAAGGAGAAGAAAGAGAGGGAGAAGAAGCGUGCACAGGAUGAGUUGAACAGGAAAUUUGAAGAGAAGAAAAAAAUAGAAAGAGACAUAGAAAGGUUGAGGCGCAAGAUCGCAGAUAUGCACUAUUAAUCGAUCAUCAACUCUCUGGCAGUGGCAUCUGCAAACUCCUUCCAGACUUGUUUAAUUUAUGUUUGCUUUUUUACUCUAUUUUACUUUUUUCUUUGGUUUUUUUUCCCCCUUUUGUUAUUAGCUGAUGGUCUUUCUUGUCUAUGAAUUGAAAUAAAGCAGCUUAUUUGAUGUACUCAAAUUAGUUUCCCUCCUCUGUUUUGAAGUUUUUGCAUAUUUUACAUGUUUGAUGUUUCCCCUUGCUAUGGUGUUAUAUAUGCUUUUACAUAUUUUGAAUCAAUUGAGCUUCUUCUUAUGCACCAGAAAAUAAAAAAUGUAAAUAAAACAUAAGGCACAACAGCAUCACCUUCGGUAAGCUUUGAAAUGGAGUUGGAAGAAAUAUUAGUUUGUGACUUAACACUGCCACAAAAUAUUAUUAUUUUACAAAUAUAAAUUAAUGUGGAGAAUGUUGAUUUGUCUUACAAGUGUCCAAAAAAUAAUAAAACUUAUAUCCUCUCAAUAGAGACAUAAACUUUAUAACAAUAUAAAAACUAAAAAAAAUAAAAAAUCCAUGUUUGCUCCCAUUAAUACGUAUAUAGUUGAACAUACAGACUUCGCACGUCUAGUACCACACUUAUAUAUCACUUGAUAUCGAAUGGCCACCUAUACGAAUUAACACUCUCUUAUCUCAUAAUUUCCCCCUUUUUAAAGCAGUUUGAGAUUGAUGUGCUUUAAAAAAAAAUUAUUUUUGUUGUGUUUAAGAAUAAUCAGCUAUAAAAUAAAGUACAAGAGUGUUUGAUAAAUUGUAAGUUUGAAGUGUUGUUGUGAGUAUAAAAAAAAAAUGUAUAGGCGUUUGGUAAAUUUUAAUGUAAAGGUAAUAAAAUUGUAUAUAAUGACAAAAAUGGACAUAGUAGUAGAGGUGGUGGGGG